AUCCAGAACAAAAAUACUUCACACACUUUUGUGUUUUGUCUAAUUGCAGGUGUAUGGAACAUUUGUACAAUCCACAUAUGAAGAUAAGAAAGAAAGAGAUGUUUAUUUGCUGUUCAAAAAGUCCUCUCACGUCACUUUUGGCCCAAGAGAAGAUAGAGUCCAAGUCUCUCACGUUCUGGAUUCAGAUUCGGACUGCACAGACAUACCUGACUCAAAACGCACACAAGUUUUUCAUACGGACUCCGAAUUGGGUGAUUCUUUUUUUGUUAGACACUAGAUUUCGUGCACUUUCCAACCCAAUUGGAAUCACCUUCAAAUUCGUCCGGAGCGUUGAGUUGUGGACGAAACAAUCUGAUGCUGCAGCAGAAUCCGAGUCAAACUACAAGUCCAAAGUUGUUACAUCACCUCCACUUGGGCCCAUUGGCCUUGUACGACCUAGAUUUAGUUUUAGGCUGCCUUGGGACGUCCUCCCACCUCCUUGGCCGCCACCCCAUGCUCCUAUAUAAGUAGAUCCAUCUAGUAGCUUUUCCUUGGGAUUUGUUUAGUUAAAAGUUAGCCAUUGCAACUUCGUGUGCUUCGUUUGUGUCCAACGACCAGACCAAGACCACUUUUCAGAUCCCCACCAUUAUCAAUACUUCAUACAUAUUCGCGAUAUUCAGAUUGCUUUUAUCAUAUUCUUGCUUGUUCUUCGAUUGCUUGCAGGAAUAGACCUUCGUGGUCAGGUUGAUCGUGCUCCGGCGUGGUCAAUAACCUCUCGGAGUUGGUUUAGCGAUUGCUAAGGCACAACGUCGUUGCACGUUUGUAGUCGGAUCGUCAAAGUCGUCUCCACCAAAUCGAUAGUUAUCAUCUCAUCGAAAGAUCGGGACACCCCGCCUCUAUCAUGAUGCACGUUUGUUUGGUAACCUUGGGAAGUGCACCUUUUGCACCGACCGAGUAUCUUUUCUUGGCUAUGUUGUUACUCCACAGGGAAUUGAAGUUGAUAAAGCCAAGAUUGAAGCUAUUGAGAGUUGGCCGUAGCCCAAAACGGUCACAAAAGUGAGGAGUUUUCUUGGCCUCGCUGGAUUCUAUAGGCGUUUUUUGAGAGAUUUCAGCACCAUUGCUGCACCUCUCAAUGAGCUUACAAAGAAAGAUGUGCCUUUUCUUUGGGGUACCGCACAGGAAGAAGCCUUCACGGUAUUGAAAGAUAAGUUGAGACAUGCUCCUUUACUCCAACUUCCUGAUUUUAAUAAGACUUUUGAGCUUGAAUGUGAUGCUAGUGGAAUUGGAUUAGGCGGUGUGUUAUUACAAGAUGGCAAACCUGUUGCAUACUUUUCUGAAAAAUUGAGUGGGCCUAGUCUGAAUUAUUCUACUUAUGAUAAAAAAUUAUAUGCUCUUGUUCGGACUUUAGAAACAUGGCAACAUUAUUUAUGGCCCAAAGAAUUUGUUAUACAUUCUGAUCAUGAAUCUUUGAAACAUAUUAAAAGUCAAGCUAAACUGAAUCGUAGACAUGCUAAAUGGGUUGAAUUCAUUGAGACUUUCCCUUAUGUCAUUAAACACAAGAAGGGAAAAGAAAAUGUUAUUGCUGAUGCAUUGUCUCGUCGCUAUACCAUGCUUUCACAACUUGACUUCAAAAUAUUUGGUUUGGGGACCAUCAAAGAUCAAUAUGUGCAUGAUGCUGAUUUUAAAGAUGUAAUGCAGAAUUGUAAAGAAGGAAGAAUGUGGAACAAGUUUGUCGUUAACGAUGGAUUUGUGUUUCGUGCUAACAAGCUAUGCAUUCCAGCUAGCUCCAUUCGUCUUUUGUUGUUGCAGGAGGCGCAUGGAGGAGGAUUAAUGGGACACUUUGGCGUGAAGAAGACGGAGGAUGUACUUGCUACACAUUUCUUUUGGCCAAAGAUGAGACGGGAUGUUGAGCGUUUUAUUGCUCGCUGCACUACAUGUCAAAAAGCUAAGUCACGACUCAAUCCUCAUGGUUUAUAUAUGCCUUUGCCUGUAUCUAGUGUUCCUUGGGAGGAUAUAUCUAUGGACUUUGUUUUAGGUUUACCUCGAACAAAGAAGGGGAGGGAUAGCAUAUUUGUUGUCGUGGAUAGAUUCUCGAAAAUGGCACACUUUAUACCAUGUCAUAAAAGCGAUGAUGCUGUUAAUGUUGCUGAUUUGUUCUUUCGUGAAAUUAUUCGCUUGCAUGGUGUGCCAAAUACUAUUGUUUCAGAUCGUGAUACUAAAUUUCUUAGCCACUUUUGGAGAUGUUUAUGGGCUAAGUUGGGGACUAAACUGCUUUUUAGUACUACUUGUCACCCCCAAACUGAUGGACAAACUGAAGUAGUCAAUAGAACGUUGUCUACUAUGCUUAGGGCUGUUUUGAAGAAUAAUAAGAAAAUGUGGGAGGAAUGCUUGCCUCAUAUUGAAUUUGCUUAUAAUCGUUCAUUGCAUUCUACUACUAAGAUGUGCCCUUUUGAAGUUGUGUAUGGUUUCCUACCUCGUGCACCUAUUGAUUUGUUGCCUCUUCCAUCUUCGGAGAAGGUUAAUUUUGAUGCUAAACAACGUGCUGAAUUGAUUUUAAAAAUGCAUGAGUUAACUAAGGAAAACAUUGAGCGUACAAAUGCUAAAUAUAAACUUGCUGGAGAUAAGGGUAGAAAACAUGUUGUGUUUGCACCUGGAGAUCUUGUUUGGUUACAUUUGCAUAAGGAUAUUUCCUGAUUUGUGCAAAUCAAAGUUAAUGCCACGUGCUUAUGGUCCCUUUAAGGUGUUAGAGAAAAUAAAUGAUAAUGCAUAUAAACUUGAGCUGCCUGCAGAUUUUGGGGUUAGUCCCACUUUUAACAUUGCAGAUUUGAAGCCUUAUUUGGGUGAGGAAGAUGAACUUCCGUCGAGGACGACUUCAUUUCAAGAAGGGGAGGAUGAUGAGGACAUCAAUACAAUUGUUACAACCACAGCCCCUGCUGCUAUACAUACUGGACCAAUUACUAGAGCUCGUGCACGCCAACUAAAUUACCAGGUACUUCCGUUUCUUGGUAAUGAUUCUAAUGUUCAUGAGAAUAUGAUGCUGCCUAAAUUAGAUACAUUUGUUUUGCUUACAAAUGAAGGGCCUAGCUUGGAGAAGGAUGAACAUUGGAGCAAGAACAAGCAUGGAGAUGAUGGCAUGUGCAAGGGGAACAAGAACGGAGUUACAAGUGAUGAUUUCAGGACUUUGAAGCCACCAUAAUGGAUGCAUGAAGCCUUGGACGAAAUAUACAAGAUGCCACUUCAUAAAUUUCGUCCCGAGGCUAUUUUAGGUGCUGCGUCACCUUAUUAUUGGGCCAGGCCCAUGUAAUUUCGAAAUACAUAAGUAUAGGCUAUUUUUAGAGUCCGUAUGUGUGGGGAAACAAGAGAUAGGGUUGAUUUCGGACCCCUCCACCAAGGGCCACGAAAUUCCCCCCCCCCUCUUCCUCCAUAUAUACAGCCCUUAGGGCAUCGUUUAGACUUUGGGUUUUGUUUAGAUUAAAAGUUCGCCAUAGCUGCAACUUCGCGUACUUCGUUUGUGUUCAACGACCAGACAAAGGCGUCACAGAACCCCACCUUGAUCAAUAAAGCUUUCAUCUUAUAUUCGCAAUAUCCAGAUUGCAAUCUUAAUUUCUUGCUUGUUCUUCGUUUGCUCGCAGGAAACAGACCCUCGUGGUCAGGUUGAUCGUGCUCCGGCGUGGUCAAUAACCUCUCGGAGUUGGUUUAGCGAUUGCUAAGGCGCGACGUCCUCGCACGUUCGUAGUCGGAUCGUCAAAGUCGACUUCCACCAAAGCGAUAUCCAUCAUCUCAUCGAAAGACGGGACACCUUUGCCUCUAUCAGCCUGUACCUAGUGUUCCUUGGGAGGAUAUAUCUAUGGACUUUGUUUUAGGUUUACCUCGAACAAAGAAGGGGAGGGAUAGCAUAUUUGUUGUCGUGGAUAGAUUCUCGAAAAUGGCACACUUUAUACCAUGUCAUAAAAGCGAUGAUGCUGUUAAUGUUGCUGAUUUGUUCUUUCGUGAAAUUAUUCGCUUGCAUGGUGUGCCAAAUACUAUUGUUUCAGAUCGUGAUACUAAAUUUCUUAGCCACUUUUGGAGAUGUUUAUGGGCUAAGUUGGGGACUAAACUGCUUUUUAGUACUACUUGUCACCCCCAAACUGAUGUACAAACUGAAGUAGUCAAUAGAACGUUGUCUACUAUGCUUAGGGCUGUUUUGAAGAAUAAUAAGAAAAUGUGGGAGGAAUGCUUGCCUCAUAUUGAAUUUGCUUAUAAUCGUUCAUUGCAUUCUACUACUAAGAUGUGCCCUUUUGAAGUUGUGUAUGGUUUCCUACCUCGUGCACCUAUUGAUUUGUUGCCUCUUCCAUCUUCGGAGAAGGUUAAUUUUGAUGCUAAACAACGUGCUGAAUUGAUUUUAAAAAUGCAUGAGUUAACUAAGGAAAACAUUGAGCGUAUGAAUGCUAAAUAUAAACUUGCUGGAGAUAAGGGUAGAAAACAUGUUGUGUUUGCACCUGGAGAUCUUGUUUGGUUACAUUUGCGUAAGGAUAGAUUUCCUGAUUUGCGCAAAUCAAAGUUAAUGCCACGUGCUGAUGGUCCCUUUAAGGUGUUAGAGAAAAUAAAUGAUAAUUGAUAGAGGCGAGGGUCCCGAUCUUUCGAUGAGAUGAUGGAUAUCGCUUUGGUGGAAGUCGACUUUGACGAUCCGACUACGAACGUGCGAGGACGUCGCGCCUUAGCAAUCGCUAAACCAACUCCGAGAGGUUAUUGACCACGCCGGAGCACGAUCAACCUGACCACGAGGGUCUGUUUCCUGCGAGCAAACGAAGAACAAGCAAGAAACUAAGAUUGCAAUCUGGAUAUUGCGAAUAUAAGAUGAAAGCUUUAUUGAUCAAGGUGGGGUUCUGUGACGCCUUUGUCUGGUCGUUGAACACAAACGAAGUACGCGAAGUUGCAGCUAUGGCGAACUUUUAAUCUAAACAAAACCCAAAGUCUAAACGAUGCCCUAAGGGCUGUAUAUAUGGAGGAAGAGGGGGGGGGAAUUUCGUGGCCCUUGGUGGAGGGGUCCGAAAUCAACCCUAUCUCUUGUUUCCCCACACAUACGGACUCUAAAAAUAGCCUAUACUUAUGUAUUUCGAAAUUACAUGGGCCUGGCCCAAUAAUAAGGUGACGCAGCACCUAAAAUAGCCUCGGGACGAAAUUUAUGAAGUGGCAUCUUGAUAGAGGCAAAGGUGUCCCGUCUUUCGAUGAGAUGGUGGAUUUCGCUUUGGUGGAAGUCGACUUUGACGAUCCGACUACGAACGUGCGAGGACGUCGCGCCUUAGCUAUCGCUAAACCAACUCCGAGAGGUUAUUGACCACGCUGGAGCACGAUCAACCUGACCACGAGGGUCUGUUUCCUGCGAGCAAACGAAGAACAAGCAAGAAACUAAGAUUGCAAUCUGGAUAUUGCGAAUAUAAGAUGAAAGCUUUAUUGAUCAAGGUGGGGUUCUGUGACGCCUUUGUCUGGUCGUUGAACACAAACGAAGUACGCGAAGUUGCAGCUAUGGCGAACUUUUAAUCUAAACAAAACCCAAGGAAAAGCUACUAGAUGGAUCUACUUAUAUAGGAGCAAGGGGUGGCGGCCAAGGAGGUGGGAGGACGUCCCAAGGCAGCCUAAAACUAAAUCUAGGUCGUACAAGGCCAAUGGGCCCAAGUGGAGGUGAUGUAACACCUUUGGACUUGUAGUUUGACUCGGAUUCUGCUGCAGCAUCAGAUUGUUUCGUCCACAACUCAGCGCUCCGGACGAAUUUGAAGGUGAUUCCAAUUGGGUUGGAAAGUGCACGAAAUCUAGUUUCCAACAAAAAAAGAAUCACCCAAUUCGGAGUCCGUAUGAAAAACUUGUGUGCGUUUUGAGUUAGGUGUGUCUGUGCAGUCCGAAUCUGAAUCCAGAACGUGAGAGACUUGGACUCUAUCUUCUCUUGGGCCAAAAGUGACGUGAGAGAACUUUUUGGACAGCAAAUAAACAUCUCUUUCUUCCUUAUCUUCAUAUUUGGAUUGUACAAAUGUCCCAUACACCUGCAAUUAGACAAAACACAAAAGUGUGUGAAGUAUUUUUGUUCUGUAUAACAUAAAUAGAUUAUUGAAUAGUUUGCACUAGAAAUCACCUGACAAAUAUGCAUAUAUGCAAUAUUUUUGGUCAUAUCCAAGGUAGUCAUGUCCUCAUCAACAAGCAUGGAGAUGAUGGCAUGCGCAAGGGAAACAAGAACGGAGUUACAAGUGAUGAUUUCAGGACUUUGAAGCCACCAUAAUGGGUGCAUGAAGCCUUGGACGAAAUAUACAAGACGCCACUUCAUAAAUUUCGUCCCGAGGCUAUUUUAGGUGCUGCGUCACCUUAUUAUUGGGCCAGGCCCAUGUAAUUUCGAAAUACAUAAGUAUAGGCUAUUUUUAGAGUCCGUAUGUGUGGGGAAACAAGAGAUAGGGUUGAUUUCGGACCCCUCCACCAAGGGCCACGAAAUUCCCCCCCUCUUCCUCCAUAUAUACAGCCCUUAGGGCAUCGUUUAGACUUUGGGGUUUUGUUUAGAUUAAAAGUUCGCCAUAGCUGCAACUUCGCGUACUUCGUUUGUGUUCAACGACCAGACAAAGGCGUCACAGAACCCCACCUUGAUCAAUAAAGCUUUCAUCUUAUAUUCGCAAUAUCCAGAUUGCAAUCUCAGUUUCUUGCUUGUUCUUCAUUUGCUCGCAGGAAACAGACCCUCGUGGUCAGGUUGAUCGUGCUCCGGCGUGGUCAAUAACCUCUCGGAGUUGGUUUAGCGAUUGCUAAGGCGCGACGUCCUCGCACGUUCGUAGUCGGAUCGUCAAAGUCGACUGCCACCAAAGCGAUAUCCAUCAUCUCAUCGAAAGACGGGACACCUUUGCCUCUAUCAUUUGAGACACUCGCCAUUAUAGUGAUUUUUCGCAAAAAAACAGCGCAAAAAAAGAGCGAAAAAAAAUCCAGAGUGUGCUUUUCCCUUGUUUACGUGUCACGCCAUGAUUUUGUUGGUGUUCUAGGCUCGCGUCUCUAGCACAGUCUAGCCUAGGACCAGCACAGUACCAUCGUUGAGCGUUUAUUCAACUUUGCAUCUCUGAAUUGAUUAUUGCUGACCCUUUUUGCUACCAUAUUAUAAGCCUUCCCAGCUCCACAUACAUCUACGUCGUGCAUUUGACUCUCCUUGGUAAUCGCUCUAUCCAAGCUUUGAGAGUUUUUUACUACAACGGUUGCCGAUCACCGCCUGCUGCUGGGUAAGAACUGGUAAGAAUUUGAGAUUUGCUUGAUGGAUUUGUGACACCCACCACCACCUCUUGUUAGUAGUCUGUAGGAUCAUAUUCUUGUGUGUUUCUAUUGCUGCUAACCAUGCCAGGAUCACAAGCCCACGAGACUGACUGGGAGAACAUGACGAAUAAGGAUUUGCAUGAUAAAUUUCAGCAAAUGAUGAGUGGACAGGUGCAAGAUGUGCUAAACAGAUUUGAAGAGGCCAUGGAGAAGAUAGAUGGCAUGGAGAAGACGUUCGAAACAAAGCUCGAUAACAAGUUUAAUGAAUUGCUCGCGCGUCUUCCACCACCACCACCCGCUGCACCUAACGCACCUCUCCAACAACAACAACGACGACUACCUCCACGUCGCGAAACAGAUCUCCGCCGAGCGAGCCGUGUUCCUCUUGUGUUUGGCCAAACUGUUGGUGCUGCUGUUGAUACUUCUGUGGCUCCUGCUGCUGAUGCGGAGGAGGAUGAUUAUGUGGGAGAUUACAGGGAUGAGGUUGCUCAAAAUCAGAACUACGUGCAACCACCUGCACCACAACCACCAGGUCGUCCACAUGCAAAUAAUCACAAUGGUAGGGCUUUCCCUCAGGUACGAAAUCAUGACCAUCUUCCUAAACUGAAAUUGAAUAUUCCACCUUUCGAGGGUAGAUAUGUUCCUGAUAUAUAUCUUACUUGGGAGUUAGAAACUGAACAACGAUUUACAUGUUUACAAUAUCCCGAGGAGAGACGGGUUGCCGCUCCUGUUUGUGCUUUCACUAGUUUUGCAUGUGUAUGGUGGUCUGAACAUUGUAGAUUAUCUCCUAUUCCAACUACUUGGGCUGCUUUGAAAACUGCUAUGCGUACUCGUUGGGUUCCACCAUAUUAUCAACGUGAAUUGCUUCAGAAAUUACAGCGCUUAAGACAAGGAAAAAAUUCUGUAGAAGAAUAUUAUCAGGAAUUACAAACUGGCAUGAUUAGAUGUGGUAUUGUUGAGGAGAAUGAAGCUAUGCUUGCACGUUUUCUGGGUGGAUUAAAUAGAGAGAUUUAGACCAUUCUAGACUAUAAGGAGUAUACUAAUAUCACUCGUUUAUUCCAUCUUGCUUGUAAAGUUGAACGUGAAGUGCAGGAUCGACAAGCAUUGGCGCGAACUAACUUUUCUGCAGGCCGACCUUCAUCAUGGACACCGCGUGCAUCUUCUACUUCAACUGCACCAGCACCUCAAUCAGGUGUCUCCUCCAGUCGUGAUACAAGAAAACAGGCACAACCACCAUUAUCUGCUAAGAGCGCACCUGCUGGGCCUGCACAGAGUUCUGCUUCUUCCAUGGCAUCAACAGGGCACACAAGUGAUAUUAUUUGUCAUCGUUGUAAGGGAGGAGGUCAUUAUGCGAGAGAAUGCAAAUCUCCACGUGCGAUGAUUGCUACCGUGGAUGGUGGAUAUGAGUCCGCUAGUGACUAUGAUGAGGAGACUUUGGCUCUUAUUACACGUGAAGAACAUGGUGGAGAUGAUUCUAAUCAUGAGACGCAAUACAUGGCUCCUGAAGACGCUGACAGGUAUGAAUGUUUAGUUGCUCAACGUGUUUUGAGUGUGCAGGUCACACAAGCUGAGCAAAAUCAGAGGCACAAUUUGUGAUGAGGACAUCAAUACCAUUGUUACACCCACAGCCCCUGCUGCUAUACAUACUGGACCAAUUAUGAGGGCUCGCGCACGCCAACUAAAUUACCAGGUACUUUCGUUUCUUGGUAAUGAUUCUAAUGUUCAUGAGAAUAUGAUGCUGCCUAAAUUGGAUACAUUUGUUUUGCUUACAAAUGAAGGGCCUAGCUUGGAGAAGGAUGAACAUUGGAGCAAGAGCAAGCAUGGAGAUGAUGGCAUGUGCAAGGGGAACAAGAACAGAGUUACAAGUGAUGAUUUCAGGACUUUGAAGCCACCAUAAUGGGUGCAUGAAGCCUUGGACGAAAUAUACAAGAUGCCACUUCAUAAAUUUCGUCCCGAGGCUAUUCUAGGUGCUGUGUCACCUUAUUAUUGGGCCAGGCCCAUGUAAUUUCGAAAUACAUAAGUAUAGGCUAUUUUUAGUGUCCGUAUGUGUGGGGAAACAAGAGAUAGGGUUGAUUUCGGACCCCUCCACCAAGGGUCACGAAAUUCCCCCCCUCUUCCUCCAUAUAUACAGCCCUUAGGGCACCGUUUAGACUUUGGGGUUUUGUUUAGAUUAAAAGUUCGCCAUAGCUGCAACUUCGCGUACUUCGUUUGUGUUCAACGACCAGACAAAGGCGUCACAGAACCCCACCUUGAUCAAUAAAGCUUUCAUCUUAUAUUCGCAAUAUCCAGAUUGCAAUCUCAGUUUCUUGCUUGUUCUUCGUUUGCUCGUAGGAAACAGACCCUCGUGGUCAGGUUGAUCGUGCUCCGGCGUGGUCAAUAACCUCUCGGAGUUGGUUUAGCGAUUGCUAAGGCGCGACGUCCUCGCACGUUCGUAGUCGGAUCGUCAAAGUCGACUUCCACCAAAGCGAAAUCCACCAUCUCAUCGAAAGACGGGACACCUUUGCCUCUAUCAAGUGGUAUCAGAUUUCCAGGUUGCUCGGUGAGAUUUUACAGUUUUUCGUAGUUUAGAUCGAGUCUGUUCUUCAUACCUACAGUCCACGAAAAAGCCACAAAACAAAAUUAGGGUUAGUUCAUCAUAUCCGAACCAAUCUGAGCCUUUGCAUAAUCUUUUUAGGGUUUUGCUUUGUUGAAUUUGCGGUUGCAUCGUCGUGUCUAGUUGCUGGUCUUAGAGUCUAGUCUUUUAGAGUUUCGAGUUCUGGUCAUAAGUUGUCACGCCGCCGCCGCACCAUCAUCAUCGCCCCUGCCAUCUACCACCACCGCUUAUCCGCCACCGCUCCGAAUCCGUAUCCAUAUACCACCACCAAUCCGUGUCCAUAUACCACCACCGAUCCAUAUCCAUAUACUACCACCCCUACCACCACCGCUGCCAUAUACCACCACCAUAUAUCCACCACCAAUCCGAGUUCCUUGCUUAUUAGGGUUGUUCUCGAGAUCCAUCUAGAUUCCGAUUCGUGUUUCCUUGCCGGAGUAGGUUUCGGAAAAAAAAAGAGUCGGGUAGCCACGCUCCGUUUAGGCCCAAAAUUUUUCGAAAACGCAUUUUUCGAAAAAAUUUCUGGCUAUCCUAUUUUUAGGUGUUUCUGAGUGUUUUGAGACAGGUGCCAUUAUAGGAAGUUUUUUUUGACCCGUUUCCAGUUUUUGGGUCCGGGCAGUCGAAAAAAAAGAAAAAAUUGGUCGAAAAAUUUCGUGCCCAUCCUGUCAGUUUGAGCUAGGAAGAGUUUUGAGACACUCGCCAUUAUAGUGAUUUUUCGCAAAAAAAAAGCAGCGCAAAAAAAAAGAGCGCAAAAAAAAAAGAGCGAAAAAAGAAUUUCAGAGUGUGCUUUUCCCUUGUUUACGUGCCGCGCCGUGAUUUUGUUGGUGUUCUAGGCUCGCGUCUCUAGCACAGUCUAGCCUAGGACCAGCACAGUACCGUCGUUGAGCGUUUAUUCAACUUUGCAUCUCUGAAUUGAUUAUUGCUGACCCUUUUUGCUACCAUAGUAUAAGCCUUCCCAGCUCCACAUACAUCUACGUCGUGCGUUUGACUCUCCCUGGUAAUCGCUCUAUCCAAGCUUUGAGAGUUUUGACUACAACGGUUGCCGAUCACCGCCUGUUGCUGGGUAAGAACUGGUAAGAAUUUGAGUUUUGCUUGACGGAUUUGUGACACCCACCACCACCACUUGUUCGUAGUCUGUAGGAUCAUAUUCUUGUGUGUUUCUAUUGCUGCUAACCAUGCCAGGAUCACAAGCCGACGAGAUUGACUGGGAGAAUUUAUCGAACAAGGAGCUUCAUGAUAAGUUUCAGCAAAUGAUGUGAUGAGGACAUCAAUACAAUUGUUACACCCACAGCCCCUGCUGCUAUACAUACUGGACCAAUUACUAGAGCUCGUGCACGCCAACUAAAUUACCAGGUAUGAUAGAAGCGGGGUGUCCCGAUCUUUCGAUGAGAUGAUAACUAACGAUUUGGUGGAGACGACUUUGACGAUCCGACUACAAACGUGCACGACGUUGCGCCUUAGCAAUCGCUAAACCAACUCCGAGAGGUUAUUGACCACGCCGGAGCACAAUCAACCUGACCACGAAGGUCUAUUCCUGCAAGCAAUGGAAGAACAAGCAAGAAUAUGAUAAAAGCAAUCUGAAUAUUGCGAGUAUAUAUGAAGUAUUGAUAAAGGUGGGGAUCCGUAAGCGGUCUUGGUCUGGUCGUUGGACACAAACGAAGUACACGAAGUUGCAAUGGCUAACUUUUAACUAAACAAAUCCCAAGGAAAAAGCUACUAGAUGGAUCUACUUAUAUAGGAGCAAGGGGUGGCGGCCAAGGAGGUGGGAGGACGUCCCAAGGCAGCCUAAAACUAACCCUAGGUCGUACAAGGCUCAUGGGCCCAAGUGGAGGUGAUGUAACACCUUUGGACUUGUAGUUUGACUCGGAUUCUGCUGCAGCAUCAGAUUGUUUCGUCCACAACUCAACGCUCCGGACGAAUUUGAAGGUGAUUCCAAUUNNNNNNNNNNNNNNNNNNNNNNNNNNNNNNNNNNNNNNNNNNNNNNNNNNNNNNNNNNNNNNNNNNNNNNNNNNNNNNNNNNNNNNNNNNNNNNNNNNNNGAUAAAUUCUCCCAGUCAAUCUCGUCGGCUUGUGAUCCUGGCAUGGUUAGCAGCAAUAGAAACACACAAGAAUAUGAUCCUACAGACUACUAAGAAGUGGUGGUGGUGUAUCACAAAUCCGUCAAGCAAAUCUCAAAUUCUUACCAGUUCUUACCCAGCAGCAGGCGGUGAUCGGCAACCGUUGUAGUCAAAAACUCUCAAAGCUUGGAUAGAGCGAUUACCAAGGAGAGUCGAACACACGACGUAGAUGUAUGUGGAGCUGGGAAGGCUUAUAGUAUGGUAGCAAAAAGGGUCAGCAAUAAUCAAUUCAGAGAUGCAAAGUUGAAUAAACGCUCAACGACGGUACUGUGCUGGUCCUAGGCUAGACUGUGCUAGAGACGCGAGCCUAGAACACCAACAAAAUCACGGCGCGGCACGUAAACAAGGGAAAAGCACACUCUGAAUUUUUUUUUUCGCUCUUUUUUUUUUGUGCGCUCUUUUUUUUUGCGCUCUUUUUUUUUGCGAAAAAUCACUAUAAUGGCGAGUGUCUCAAAACUCUUCCUAGCUCAAACGGACAGGAUGGGCACGAAAUUUUUUUCGGCCAAAUUUUUUUUUUUUCGACUGCCCAGACCCAAAAACUGGAAACGGGUCAAAAAAAACUUCCUAUAAUGGCACCUGUCUCAAAACACUCAGAAACACCUAAAAAUAGGAUAGCCAGAAAUUUUUUCGAAAAAUGCGUUUUCGAAAAAUUUUGGGCCUAAACGGAGCGUGGCUACCCGACUCUUCUUUUUUUUUUUUCCGAAACCUACUCCGGCAAGGAAACACGAAUCGGAAUCUAGAUUGAUCCCGAAAACAAACCUAAUAAGCAAGGAACUCGGAUUGGUGGUGGAUAUAUGGUGGUGGUAUAUGGCAGCGGUGGUAGUAUUUGGAUAUGGAUCGGUGGUGGUAUAUGGACACGGAUUGGUGGUGGUAUAUGGAUACGGAUUCGGAGCGGUGGUGGUAGAUGGCAGGGGCGAUGAUGAUGGUGCGGCGGCGGCGUGACAACUUAUGACCAGAACUCGAAACUCUAAAAGACUAGACUCUAAGACCAGCAACUAGACACGACGAUGCAACCGCAAAUUCAACAAAGCAAAACCCUAAAAAGAUUAUGCAAGGCUCAGAUUGGUUCGGAUAUGAUGAACUAACCCUAAAUUUUUUUUGUGGCUUUUUCGUGGACUAUAGGUAUGAAGAACAGACUCGAUCUAAACUACGAAAAACUGUAAAAUCUCACCGAGCAACCUGGAAAUCUGAUACCACUUGAUAGAGGCAAAGGUGUCCCGUCUUUCGAUGAGAAGGUGGAUUUCGCUUUGGUGGAAGUCGACUUUGACGAUCCGACUACGAACGUGCGAGGACGUCGCGCCUUAGCAAUCGCUAAACCAACUCCGAGAGGUUAUUGACCACGCCGGGGCACGAUCAACCUGACCACGAGGGUCUGUUUCCUGCGAGCAAUCGAAGAACAAGCAAGAAACUAAGAUUGCAAUCUGGAUAUUGCGAAUAUAAGAUGAAAGCUUUAUUGAUCAAGGUGGGGUUCUGUGACGCCUUUGUCUGGUCGUUGAACACAAACGAAGUACGCGAAGUUGCAGCUAUGGCGAACUUUUAAUCUAAACAAAACCCAAAGUCUAAACGAUGCCCUAAGGGCUGUAUAUAUGGAGGAAGAGGGGGGAAUUUCGUGGCCCUUGGUGGAGGGGUCCGACAUCAACCCUAUCUCUUGUUUCCCCACACAUACGGACUCUAAAAAUAGCCUAUACUUAUGUAUUUCGAAAUUACAUGGGCCUGGCCCAAUAAUAAGGUGACGCAGCACCUAAAAUAGCCUCGGGACGAAAUUUAUGAAGUGGCAUCUUGUAUAUUUCGUCCAAGGCUUCAUGCACCCAUUAUGGUGGCUUCAAAGUCCUGAAAUCAUCACUUGUAACUCCGUUCUUGUUCCCCUUGCGCAUGCCAUCAUCUCCAUGCUUGUUCUUGCUCCAAUGUUCAUCCUUCUCCAAGCUAGGCCCUUCAUUUGUAAGCAAAACAAAUGUAUCCAAUUUAGGCAGUAUCAUAUUCUCAUGAACAUUAGAAUCAUUACCAAGAAACGAAAGUACCUGGUAAUUUAGUUGGCGUGCACGAGCUCUAGUAACUGGUCCAGUAUGUAUAGCAGCAGGGGCUGUGGGUGUAACAAUUGUAUUGAUGUCCUCAUCAGGUGGUGGUGGGUGUCACAAAUCCGUCAAGCAAAUCUCAAAUUCUUACCAGUUCUUACCCAGCAGCAGGCGGUGAUCGGCAACCGUUGUAGUCAAAAACUCUCAAAGCUUGGAUAGAGCGAUUACCAGGGAGAGUCAAACGCACGACGUAGAUGUAUGUGGAGCUGGGAAGGCUUAUAAUAUGGUAGCAAAAAGGGUCAGCAAUAAUCAAUUCAGAGAUGCAAAGUUGAAUAAACGCUCAACGACGGUACUGUGCUGGUCCUAGGCUAGACUGUGCUAGAGACGCGAGCCUAGAACACUAACAAAAUCACGGCGCGGUACGUAAACAAGGGAAAAGCACACUCUGGAAUUUUUUUUCGCUCUUUUUUUUAUUUGCGCUCUCUUUUUUUUGCGCUGCUUUUUUUUGCGCUCUCUUUUUUUUUGCGCUGCUUUUUUUUUGCGAAAAAUCACUAUAAUGGCGAGUGUCUCAAAACUCUUCUUAGCUCAAACUAACAGGAUGGGCACGAAAUUUUUUUCGACUAAUUUUUUUUUUUUACUGCGCGGACCCAAAAACUGGAAACGGGUCAAAAAAAACUUCCUAUAAUGGCACCUGUCUCAAAACACUCAGAAACACCUAAAAAUAGGAUAGCCAGAAAUUUUUUCGAAAAAUGCGUUUUCGAAAAUUUUUGGGCCUAAACGGAGCGUGGCUACCCGACUCUUUUUUUUUCCGAGACCUACUCCGGCAAGGAAACACGAAUCGGAAUCUAGAUGGAUCUCGAAAACAAACCUAAUAUGACAAGAACUCGGAUUGGUGGUGGAUAUAUGGUGGUAGAUGGCAGCGGUGGUGGUAUAUGACAGCUGUGGUGGUAUAUGGAUACGGAUUCGAAGCGGUGGCGGAUAAACGGUGGUGGUAGAUGGCAGGGGUGAUGAUGAUGGUGCGGCGGCGGCGUGACAACUUAUGACCAGAACUCGAAACUCUAAAAGACUAGACUCUAAGACCAGCAACUAGACACGACGAUGCAACCGCAAAUUCAACAAAGCAAAACCCUAAAAAGAUUAUGCAAGGCUCAGAUUGGUUCGGAUAUGAUGAACUAACCCUAAUUUUUUUUUGUGGCUUUUUCGUGGACUAUAGGUAUGAAGAACAGACUCGAUCUAAACUACGAAAAACUGUAAAAUCUCACCGAGCAACCUGGAAAUCUGAUACCACUUGAUAGAGGCAAAGGUGUCCCGUCUUUCGAUGAGAAGGUGGAUUUCGCUUUGGUGGAAGUCGACUUUGACGAUCCGACUACGAACGUGCGAGGACGUCGCGCCUUAGCAAUCGCUAAACCAACUCCGAGAGGUUAUUGACCACGCCGGGGCACGAUCAACCUGACCACGAGGGUCUGUUUCCUGCGAGCAAUCGAAGAACAAGCAAGAAACUAAGAUUGCAAUCUGGAUAUUGCGAAUAUAAGAUGAAAGCUUUAUUGAUCAAGGUGGGGUUCUGUGACGCCUUUGUCUGGUCGUUGAACACAAACGAAGUACGCGAAGUUGCAGCUAUGGCGAACUUUUAAUCUAAACAAAACCCAAAGUCUAAACGAUGCCCUAAGGGUUGUAUAUAUGGAGGAAGAGGGGGGAAUUUCGUGGCCCUUGGUGGAGGUGUCCGAAAUCAACCCCAUCUCUUGUUUCCCCACACAUACGGACUCUAAAAAUAGCCUAUACUUAUGUAUUUCGAAAUUACAUGGGCCUGGCCCAAUAAUAAGGUGACGCAGCACCUAAAAUAGCCUCGGGACGAAAUUUAUGAAGUGGCAUCUUGUAUAUUUCGUCCAAGGCUUCAUGCACCCAUUAUGGUGGCUUCAAAGUCCUGAAAUCAUCACUUGUAACUCCGUUCUUGUUCCCCUUGCGCAUGCCAUCAUCUCCAUGCUUGUUCUUGCUCCAAUGUUCAUCCUUCUCCAAGCUAGGCCCUUCAUUUGUAAGCAAAACAAAUGUAUCCAAUUUAGGCAGCAUCAUAUUCUCAUGAACAUUAGAAUCAUUACCAAGAAACGAAAGUACCUGGUAAUUUAGUUGGCGUGCACGAGCUCUAGUAACUGGUCCAGUAUGUAUAGCAGCAGGGGCUGUGGGUGUAACAAUUGUAUUGAUGUCCUCAUCAUCCUCCCCUUCUUGAAAUGAAGUCGUCCUCGACGGAAGUUCAUCUUCCUCACCCAAAUAAGGCUUCAAAUCUGCAAUGUUAAAAGUGGGACUAACCCCAAAAUCUGCAGGCAGCUCAAGUUUAUAUGCAUUAUCAUUUAUUUUCUCUAACACCUUAAAGGGACCAUCAGCACGUGGCAUUAGCUUCGAUUUGCGCAAAUCAGGAAAUCUAUCCUUACGCAAAUGUAACCAAACAAGAUCUCCAGGUGCAAACACAACAUGUUUUCUACCCUUAUCUCCAGCAAGUUUAUAUUUAGCAUUCAUACGCUCAAUGUUUUCCUUAGUUAACUCAUGCAUUUUUAAAAUCAAUUCAGCACGUUGUUUAGCAUCAAAAUUAACCUUCUCCGAAGAUGGAAGAGGCAACAAAUCAAUAGGUGCACGAGGUAGGAAACCAUACACAACUUCAAAAGGGCACAUCUUUGUAGUAGAAUGCAAUGAACGAUUAUAAGCAAAUUCAAUAUGAGGCAAGCAUUCCUCCCACAUUUUCUUAUUAUUCUUCAAAACAGCCCUAAGCAUAGUAGACAACGUUCUAUUGACUACUUCAGUUUGUCCAUCAGUUUGGGGGUGACAAGUAGUACUAAAAAGCAGUUUAGUCCCCAACUUAGCCUGAUGAGGACAUCAAUACAAUUGUUACACCCACAGCCCCUGCUGCUAUACAUACUGGACCAAUUACUAGAGCCCGUGCACGCCAACUAAAUUACCAGGUACUUUCGUUUCUUGGUAAUGAUUCUAAUGUUCAUGAGAAUAUGAUGCUGCCUAAAUUGGAUACAUUUGUUUUGCUUACAAAUGAAGGGCCUAGCUUGGAGAAGGAUGAACAUUGGAGCAAGAACAAGCAUGGAGAUGAUGGCAUGCGCAAGGGGAACAAGAACGGAGUUACAAGUGAUGAUUUCAGGACUUUGAAGCCACCAUAAUGGGUGCAUGAAGCCUUGAACGAAAUAUACAAGAUGCCACUUCAUAAAUUUCGUCCCGAGGCUAUUUUAGGUGCUGCGUCACCUUAUUAUUGGGCCAGGCCCAUGUAAUUUCGAAAUACAUAAGUAUAGGCUAUUUUUAGAGUCCGUAUGUGUGGGGAAACAAGAGAUAGGGUUGAUUUCGGACCCCUCCACCAAGGGCUACGAAAUUCCCCCCUCUUCCUCCAUAUAUACAGCCCUUAGGGCAUCGUUUAGACUUUGGGUUUUGUUUAGAUUAAAAGUUCGCCAUAGCUGCAACUUCGCGUACUUCGUUUGUGUUCAACGACCAGACAAAGGCGUCACAGAACCCCACCUUGAUCAAUAAAGCUUUCAUCUUAUAUUCGCAAUAUCCAGAUUGCAAUCUUAGUUUCUUGCUUGUUCUUCGAUUGCUCGCAGGAAACAGACCCUCGUGGUCAGGUUGAUCGUGCCCCGGCGUGGUCAAUAACCUCUCGGAGUUGGUUUAGCGAUUGCUAAGGCGCGACGUCCUCGCACGUUCGUAGUCGGAUCGUCAAAGUCGACUUCCACCAAAGCGAAAUCCACCUUCUCAUCGAAAGACGGGACACCUUUGCCUCUAUCAAGUGGUAUCAGAUUUCCAGGUUGCUCGGUGAGAUUUUACAGUUUUUCGUAGUUUAGAUCGAGUCUGUUCUUCAUACCUACAGUCCACGAAAAAGCCACACAAAAAAAUUAGGGUUAGUUCAUCAUAUCCGAACCAAUCUGAGCCUUUGCAUAAUCUUUUUAGGGUUUUGCUUUGUUGAAUUUGCGGUUGCAUCGUCGGUCUAGUUGCUGGUCUUAGCGUCUAGUCUUUUAGAGUUUCGAGUUCUGGUCAUAAGUUGUCACGCCGCCGCCGCACCAUCAUCAUCGCCCCUGCCAUCUACCACCACCGCUUAUCCGCCACCGCUCCGAAUCCGUGUCCAUAUACCACCACCGAUCCAUAUCCAUAUACUACCACCGCUACCACCAUCGCUGCCAUAUACCACCACCAUAUAUCCACCACCAAUCCGAGUUCCUUGCUUAUUAGGUUUGUUUUCGAGAUCCAUCUAGAUUCCGAUUCGUGUUUCCUUGCCGGAGUAGGUUUCGGAAAAAAAAAAUCGAAAACGCAUUUUCGAAAACGCGUUCGUGUUUCCUUGCCGGAGUCGGGUAGCCACGCUCCGUUUAGGCCCAAAAUUUUUCGAAAACGCAUUUUUCGAAAAAAUUUCUGGCUAUCCUAUUUUUAGGUGUUUCUGAGUGUUUUGAGACAGGUGCCAUUAUAGGAAGUUUUUUUUGACCCGUUUCCAGUUUUUGGGUCCGGGCAGUCGAAAAAAAAAAAUUGGUCGAAAAAUUUCGUGCCCAUCCUGUCAGUUUGAGCUAGGAAGAGUUUUGAGACACUCGCCAUUAUAGUGAUUUUUCGCAAAAAAAAAGCGCAAAAAAAAAGAGCGCAAAAAAAAGCGAAAAAAAAAAUUCAGAGUGUGCCUUUCCCUUGUUUACAUGCCGCACCGUGAUUUUGUUGGUGUUCUAGGCUCGCGUCUCUAGCACAGUCUAGCCUAGGACCAGCACAGUACCGUCGUUGAGCGUUUAUUCAACUUUGCAUCUCUGAAUUGAUUAUUGCUGACCCUUUUUGCUACCAUACUAUAAGCCUUCCCAGCUCCACAUACAUCUACGUCGUGUGUUCGACUCUCCCUGGUAAUCGCUCUAUCCACGCUUUGAGAGUUUUUGACUACAACGGUUGCCGAUCACCGCCUGCUGCUGGGUAAGAACUGGUAAGAAUUUGAGAUUUGCUUGACGGAUUUGUGAUACACCACCACCACUUCUUAGUAGUCUGUAGGAUCAUAUUCUUGUGUGUUUCUAUUGCUGCUAACCAUGCCAGGAUCACAAGCCGACGAGAUUGACUGGGAGAACUUAUCGAACAAGGAGCUUCAUGAUAAGUUUCAGCAAAUGAUGACUGAACAGGUACAAGAUGUGCUGAACAAUUUUGAAGAGGCCAUGGAGAAGAUCACUGGCCUUGAGAAGACGUUCGAAACAAAGCUCGAUAACAGAUUUAAUGAACUGCUUGCGCGUCUUCCACCACCGGCUGCACCUGUCGCACCUCUGCAACAACAACAACUACGCCCCCUUCUGAAUCAGUAUGGACGAGCACAGCGUGUUCCUAUUGUGCCAGGACAAAAUUCUGGUGCCGCUGGUACUGCUGUUGGUGUUUCUUUGGCUCCUGCUACUGCUCCUGCUGGUACCCAGGAGGAUGAUGAGUAUGCGGGCGAUUAUGAGGAUGAGGUUGAUCAAAAUCAGAUCUACGAGCAACCACCAGCACCACCACCAGCAGGUCGACCUCAGGUAUAUAUUCGUAAUGGUAGGCCUGCACCACCACCUCAGGUACGAGAUGAUGUCCAUAUUCCUAAACUGAAAUUGAAUAUUCCACCAUUUGAGGGUAGAUAUGUUCCUGAUAUAUAUCUUACUUGGGAGUUAGAAACUGAACAACGAUUUACAUGUUUACAAUAUCCUGAGGAGAGACGAGUUGCUGCUGCUGUUUGUGCUUUCACUAGUUUUGCAUGUGUAUGGUGGUCUGAACAUUGUAGAUUAUAUCCUAUUCCAACUACUUGGGCUGCUUUGAAAACUGCUAUGCGUACGCGUUGGGUUCCACCAUAUUAUCAACGUGAAUUGCUUCAAAAAUUGCAGCGUUUAAGACAAGGAAAAAAUUCUGUAGAAGAAUAUUAUCAGGAAUUACAAACUGGCAUGAUUAGAUGUGGUAUUGUUGAGGAGAAUGAAGCUAUGCUUGCACGUUUUCUGGGUGGAUUAAAUAGAGAGAUUCUGAUAGAGGCAAAGGUGUCCCGUCUUUCGAUGAGAUGAUGGAUAUCGCUUUGGUGGAAGUCGACUUUGACGAUCCGACUACGAACGUGUGAGGACGUCGCGCCUUAGCAAUCGCUAAACCAACUCCGAGAGGUUAUUGACCACGCCGGAGCACGAUCAACCUGACCACGAGGGUCUGUUUCCUGCGAGCAAACGAAGAACAAGCAAGAAACUAAGAUUGCAAUCUGGAUAUUGCGAAUAUAAGAUGAAAGCUUUAUUGAUCAAGGUGGGGUUCUGUGACGCCUUUGUCUGGUCGUUGAACACAAACGAAGUACGCGAAGUUGCAGCUAUGGCGAACUUUUAAUCUAAACAAAACCCAAAGUCUAAACGAUGCCCUAAGGGCUGUAUAUAUGGAGGAAGAGGGGGGAAUUUCGUGGCCCUUGGUGGAGGGGUCCGAAAUCAACCCCAUCUCUUGUUUCCCCACACAUACGGACUCUAAAAAUAGCCUAUACUUAUGUAUUUCGAAAUUACAUGGGCCUGGCCCAAUAAUAAGGUGACGCAGCACCUAAAAUAGCCUCGGGACGAAAUUUAUGAAGUGGCAUCUUGUAUAUUUCGUCCAAGGCUUCAUGCACCCAUUAUGGUGGCUUCAAAGUCCUGAAAUCAUCACUUGUAACUCCGUUCUUGUUCCCCUUGCGCAUGCCAUCAUCUCCAUGCUUGUUCUUGCUCCAAUGUUCAUCCUUCUCCAAGCUAGGCCCUUCAUUUGUAAGCAAAACAAAUAUAUCCAAUUUAGGCAGUAUCAUAUUCUCAUGAACAUUAGAAUCAUUACCAAGAAACGAAAGUACCUGGUAAUUUAGUUGGCGUGCACGAGCUCUAGUAACUGGUCCAGUAUGUAUAGCAGCAGGGGCUGUGGGUGUAACAAUUGUAUUGAUGUCCUCAUCAGGUGGUGGUGGGUGUCACAAAUCCGUCAAGCAAAUCUCAAAUUCUUACCAGUUCUUACCCAGCAGCAGGCGGUGAUCGGCAACCGUUGUAAUCAAAAACUCUCAAAGCUUGGAUAGAGCGAUUACCAGGGAGAGUCAAACGCACGACGUAGAUGUAUGUGGAGCUGGGAAGGCUUAUAAUAUGGUAGCAAAAAGGGUCAGCAAUAAUCAAUUCAGAGAUGCAAAGUUGAAUAAACGCUCAACGACGGUACUGUGCUGGUCCUAGGCUAGACUGUGCUAGAGACGCGAGCCUAGAACACUAACAAAAUCAUGGCGCGGCACGUAAACAAGGGAAAAGCACACUCUGGAAUUUUUUUUUCGCUCUUUUUUUUUAUUUGCGCUCUCUUUUUUUUUGCGCUGCUUUUUUUUUUGCGCUCUCUUUUUUUUUGCGCUGCUUUUUUUUUGCGAAAAAUCACUAUAAUGGCGAGUGUCUCAAAACUCUUCUUAGCUCAAACUGACAGGAUGGGCACGAAAUUUUUUUCGACUNNNNNNNNNNAUCAUAUUCUCAUGAACAUUAGAAUCAUUACCAAGAAACGAAAGUACCUGGUAAUUUAGUUGGCGUGCACGAGCUCUAGUAACUGGUCCAGUAUGUAUAGCAGCAGGGGCUGUGGGUGUAACAAUUGUAUUGAUGUCCUCAUCAGGUGGUGGUGGGUGUCACAAAUCCGUCAAGCAAAUCUCAAAUUCUUACCAGUUCUUACCCAGCAGCAGGCGGUGAUCGGCAACCGUUGUAGUCAAAAACUCUCAAAGCUUGGAUAGAGCGAUUACCAGGGAGAGUCAAACGCACGACGUAGAUGUAUGUGGAGCUGGGAAGGCUUAUAAUAUGGUAGCAAAAAGGGUCAGCAAUAAUCAAUUCAGAGAUGCAAAGUUGAAUAAACGCUCAACGACGGUACUGUGCUGGUCCUAGGCUAGACUGUGCUAGAGACGCGAGCCUAGAACACUAACAAAAUCAUGGCGCGGCACGUAAACAAGGGAAAAGCACACUCUGGAAUUUUUUUUUCGCUCUUUUUUUUUAUUUGCGCUCUCUUUUUUUUUGCGCUGCUUUUUUUGCGCUCUCUUUUUUUUUGCGCUGCUUUUUUUUUUGCGAAAAAUCACUAUAAUGGCGAGUGUCUCAAAACUCUUCUUAGCUCAAACUGACAGGAUGGGCACGAAAUUUUUUUCGACUAAUUUUCUUUUUUUUGAUUGCGCGGACCCAAAAACUGGAAACGGGUCAAAAAAAACUUCCUAUAAUGGCACCUGUCUCAAAACACUCAGAAACACCUAAAAAUAGGAUAGCCAGAAUUUUUUUUGAAAAAUGCGUUUUCGAAAAUUUUUGGGCCUAAACGGAGCGUGGCUACCCGACUCUUUUUUUUUCCGAGACCUACUCCGGCAAGGAAACACGAAUCGGAAUCUAGAUGGAUCUCGAAAACAAACCUAAUAUGACAAGAACUCGGAUUGGUGGUGGAUAUAUGGUGGUAGAUGGCAGCGGUGGUGGUAUGUGACAGCUGUGGUGGUAUAUGGAUACGGAUUCGAAGCGGUGGCGGAUAAACGGUGGUGGUAGAUGGCAGGGGUGAUGAUGAUGGUGCGGCGGCGGCGUGACAACUUAUGACCAGAACUCGAAACUCUAAAAGACUAGACUCUAAGACCAGCAACUAGACACGACGAUGCAACCGCAAAUUCAACAAAGCAAAACCCUAAAAAGAUUAUGCAAGGCUCAGAUUGGUUCGGAUAUGAUGAACUAACCCUAAAUUUUUUUUUGUGGCUUUUUCGUGGACUAUAGGUAUGAAGAACAGACUCGCUCUAAACUACGAAAAACUGUAAAAUCUCACCGAGCAACCUGGAAAUCUGAUACCACUUGAUAGAGGCAAAGGUGUCCCGUCUUUCGAUGAGAAGGUGGAUUUCGCUUUGGUGGAAGUCGACUUUGACGAUCCGACUACGAACGUGCGAGGACGUCGCGCCUUAGCAAUCGCUAAACCAACUCCGAGAGGUUAUUGACCACGCCGGGGCACGAUCAACCUGACCACGAGGGUCUGUUUCCUGCGAGCAAUCGAAGAACAAGCAAGAAACUAAGAUUGCAAUCUGGAUAUUGCGAAUAUAAGAUGAAAGCUUUAUUGAUCAAGGUGGGGUUCUGUGACGCCUUUGUCUGGUCGUUGAACACAAACGAAGUACGCGAAGUUGCAGCUAUGGCGAACUUUUAAUCUAAACAAAACCCAAAGUCUAAACGAUGCCCUAAGGGUUGUAUAUAUGGAGGAAGAGGGGGGAAUUUCGUGGCCCUUGGUGGAGGUGUCCGAAAUCAACCCCAUCUCUUGUUUCCCCACACAUACGGACUCUAAAAAUAGCCUAUACUUAUGUAUUUCGAAAUUACAUGGGCCUGGCCCAAUAAUAAGGUGACGCAGCACCUAAAAUAGCCUCGGGACGAAAUUUAUGAAGUGGCAUCUUGUAUAUUUCGUCCAAGGCUUCAUGCACCCAUUAUGGUGGCUUCAAAGUCCUGAAAUCAUCACUUGUAACUCCGUUCUUGUUCCCCUUGCGCAUGCCAUCAUCUCCAUGCUUGUUCUUGCUCCAAUGUUCAUCCUUCUCCAAGCUAGGCCCUUCAUUUGUAAGCAAAACAAAUGUAUCCAAUUUAGGCAGCAUCAUAUUCUCAUGAACAUUAGAAUCAUUACCAAGAAACGAAAGUACCUGGUAAUUUAGUUGGCGUGCACGAGCUCUAGUAACUGGUCCAGUAUGUAUAGCAGCAGGGGCUGUGGGUGUAACAAUUGUAUUGAUGUCCUCAUCAGGUGGUGGUGGGUGUCACAAAUCCGUCAAGCAAAUCUCAAAUUCUUACCAGUUCUUACCCAGCAGCAGGCGGUGAUCGGCAACCGUUGUAGUCAAAAACUCUCAAAGCUUGGAUAGAGCGAUUACCAGGGAGAGUCAAACGCACGACGUAGAUGUAUGUGGAGCUGGGAAGGCUUAUAAUAUGGUAGCAAAAAGGGUCAGCAAUAAUCAAUUCAGAGAUGCAAAGUUGAAUAAACGCUCAACGACGGUACUGUGCUGGUCCUAGGCUAGACUGUGCUAGAGACGCGAGCCUAGAACACUAACAAAAUCACGGCGCGGCACGUAAACAAGGGAAAAGCACACUCUGGAAUUUUUUUUUCGCUCUUUUUUUUAUUUGCGCUCUCUUUUUUUUUGCGCUGCUUUUUUUUUGCGCUCUCUUUUUUUUUGCGCUGCUUUUUUUUUGCGAAAAAUCACUAUAAUGGCGAGUGUCUCAAAACUCUUCUUAGCUCAAACUGACAGGAUGGGCACGAAAUUUUUUUCGACUAAUUUUUUUUUUUGACUGCGCGGACCCAAAAACUGGAAACGGGUCAAAAAAAACUUCCUAUAAUGGCACCUGUCUCAAAACACUCAGAAACACCUAAAAAUAGGAUAGCCAGAAAAUUUUUCGAAAAAUGCGUUUUCGAAAAUUUUUGGGCCUAAACGGAGCGUGGCUACCCGACUCUUUUUUUUUCGAGACCUACUCCGGCAAGGAAACACGAAUCGGAAUCUAGAUGGAUCUCGAAAACAAACCUAAGAUGACAAGAACUCGGAUUGGUGGUGGAUAUAUGGUGGUAGAUGGCAGCGGUGGUGGUAUAUGACAGCUGUGGUGGUAUAUGGAUACGGAUUCGAAGCGGUGGCGGAUAAACGGUGGUGGUAGAUGGCAGGGGUGAUGAUGAUGGUGCGGCGGCGGCGUGACAACUUAUGACCAGAACUCGAAACUCUAAAAGACUAGACUCGAAAACCAGCAACUAGACCGACGAUGCAACCGCAAAUUCAACAAAGCAAAAUCCUAAAAAGAUUAUGCAAAGGCUCAGAUUGGUUCGGAUAUGAUAAACUAACCCUAAUUUUUUUUUGUGUGGCUUUUUCGUGGACUGUAGGUAUGAAGAACAGACUCGAUCUAAACGACGAAAAACUAUAAAAUCUCACCGAGCAACCUGGAAAUCUGAUACCACUUGAUAGAGGCAGAGGUGUCCCGUCUUUCGAUGAGAUGAUGGAUUUCGCUUUGGUGGAAGUCGACUUUGACGAUCCGACUACGAACGUGCGAGGACGUCGCGCCUUAGCAAUCGCUAAACCAACUCCGAGAGGUUAUUAACCACGCCGGAGCACGAUCAACCUGACCACGAGGGUCUGUUUCCUGCGAGCAAACGAAGAACAAGCAAGAAACUGAGAUUGCAAUCUGGAUAUUGCGAAUAUAAGAUGAAAGCUUUAUUGAUCAAGGUGGGGUUCUGUGACGCCUUUGUCUGGUCGUUGAACACAAACGAAGUACGCGAAGUUGCAGCUAUGGCGAACUUUUAAUCUAAACAAAACCCAAAGUCUAAACGAUGAUCUAAGGGCUGUAUAUAUGGAGGAAGAGGGGGGAAUUUCGUGGCCCUUGGUGGAGGGGUCCGAAAUCAACCCUAUCUCUUGUUUCCCCACACAUACGGACUCUAAAAAUAGCCUAUACUUAUGUAUUUCGAAAUUACAUGGGCCUGGCCCAAUAAUAAGGUGACGCAGCACCUAAAAUAGCCUCGGGACGAAAUUUAUGAAGUGGCAUCUUGUAUAUUUCGUCCAAGGCUUCAUGCACCCAUUAUGGUGGCUUCAAAGUCCUGAAAUCAUCACUUGUAACUCCGUUCUUGUUCCCCUUGCGCAUGCCAUCAUCUCCAUGCUUGUUCUUGCUCCAAUGUUCAUCCUUCUCCAAGCUAGGCCCUUCAUUUGUAAGCAAAACAAAUGUAUCCAAUUUAGGCAGCAUCAUAUUCUCAUGAACAUUAGAAUCAUUACCAAGAAACGAAAGUACCUGGUAAUUUAGGUGGCGUGCACGGGCUCUAGUAAUUGGUCCAGUAUGUAUAGCAGCAGGGGCUGUGGGUGUAACAAUUGUAUUGAUGUCCUCAUCAAAAGGUGUCCCGUCUUUCGAUGAGAUGAUGGAUAUCACUUUGGUGGCAGUCGACUUUGACGAUCCGACUACGAACGUGCGAGGACGUCGCGCCUUAGCAAUCGCUAAACCAACUCCGAGAGGUUAUUGACCACGCCGGAGCACGAUCAACCUGACCACGAGGGUCUGUUUCCUGCAAGCAAACGAAGAACAAGCAAGAAACUAAGAUUGCAAUCUGGAUAUUGCGAAUAUAAGAUGAAAGCUUUAUUGAUCAAGGUGGGGUUCUGUGACGCCUUUGUCUGGUCGUUGAACACAAAUGAAGUACGCGAAGUUGCAGCUAUGGCGAACUUUAAUCUAAACAAAACCCAAAAUCUAAACGGUGCCCUAAGGGCUGUAUAUAUGGAGGAAGAGAGGGGAAUUUCGUGGCCCUUGGUGGAGGGGUCCGAAAUCAACCCUAUCUCUUGUUUCCCCACACAUACGGACUCUAAAAAUAGCCUAUACUUAUGUAUUUCCAAAUUACAUGGGCCUGGCCCAAUAAAAAGGUGACGCAGCACCUAUAAUAGCCUCGGGACGAAAUUUAUGAAGUGGCAUCUUGUAUAUUUCGUCCAAGGCUUCAUGCACCCAUUAUGGUGGCUUCAAAGUCCUGAGAUCAUCACUUGUAACUCCGUUCUUGUUCCCCUUGCGCAUGGCAUCAUCUCCAUGCUUGUUCUUGCUCCAAUGUUCAUCCUUCUCCAAGCUAGGCCCUUCAUUUGUAAGCAAAACAAAUGUAUCCAAUUUAGGCAGCAUCAUAUUCUCAUGAACGUUAGAAUCAUUACCGAGAAACGAAAGUACCUGAUAAUUUAAUUGGCGUGCGCGAGCUCUAGUAAUUGGUCCCGUAUAUGUAGCAGUAGGGGCUGUGGGUGUAACAAUGGUAUUGAUGUCCUCAUCAAAAGCUCAAUAACAAGUUUAAUGAAUUGCUCGCGCGUCUUCCACCACCACCACCCUCUUCACCUAACGCACCUCUCCAACAACAACAACGACGACUACCUCCACGUCGCGAAAUAGACCUCCGCCGAGCGAGCCGUGUUCCUCUUGAGUUUGGCCAAACUAUUGGUGCUGCUAUUGAUACUUCUGUGGCUCCUGCUGCUGAUGCGGAGGAGGAUGAUUAUGUGGGAGAUUACGAGGAUGAGGUUGCUCAAAAUCACAACUACGUGCAACCACCAGCACCACCACCAGCAGGUCGACCUCAGGUAUAUAUUCGUAAUGGUAGGCCUGCACCACCACCUCAGGUACGAGAUGAUGUCCAUAUUCCUAAAAUGAAAUUGAAUAUUCCACCAUUUGAGGGUAGAUAUGAUAGAGGCGGGGGUGUCCCGAUCUUUCGAUGAGAUGAUAACUAUCGAUUUGGUGGAGACGACUUUGACGAUUCGACUACAAACGUGCACGACGUUGCGCCUUAGCAAUCGCUAAACCAACUCCGAGAGGUUAUUGACCACGCCAAAGCACAAUCAACCUGACCACGAAGGUCUAUUCCUGCAAGCAAUCGAAGAACAAGCAUGAAUAUGAUAAAGCAAUCUGAAUAUUGCGAAUAUAGAUGAAGUAUUGAUAAAGGUGGGGAUCUGUAAACGGUCUUGGUCUGGUCGUUGGACACAAACAAAGUACACGAAGUUGCAAUGGCUAACUUUUAACUAAACAAAUCCCAAGGAAAAGCUACUAGAUGGAUCUACUUAUAUAGGAGCAAGGGGUGGCGGCCAAGGAGGUGGGAGGACGUCCCAAGGCAGCCUAAAACUAAAUCUAGGUCGUACAAGGCCAAUGGGCCCAAGUGGAGGUGAUGUAACACCUUUGGACUUGUAGUUUGACUCGGAUUCUGCUGCAGCAUCAGAUUGUUUCGUCCACAACUCAAUGCUCCGGACGAAUUUGAAGGUGAUUCCAAUUGGGUUGGAAAGUGCACGAAAUCUAGUUUCCAACAAAAAAAGAAUCACCCAAUUCGGAGUCCGUAUGAAAAACUUGUGUGCGUUUUGAGUCAGGUAUGUUUGUGCAGUCCGAAUCUGAAUCCAGAACGUGAGAGACUUGGACUCUAUCUUCUCUUGGGCCAAAAGUGACGUGAGAGAACUUUUUGGACAGCAAAUAAACAUCUCUUUCUUCCUUAUCUUCAUAUGUGGAUUGUACAAAUGUCCCAUACACCUGCAAUUAGACAAAACACAAAAGUGUGUGAAGUAUUUUUGUUCUGGAUAACAUAAAUAGAUUAUUGAAUAGUUUGCACUAGAAAUCACCUGACAAAUAUGCAUAUAUGCAAUAUUUUUGGUCAUAUCCAAGGUAGUCAUGUCCUCAUCAUCCUCCCCUUCUUGAAAAUAAAGCCGUCCUCGGUGUUGCUUAAUCUGAAAUGUGGCUAAGAAAAGAGACAAGGUGUACAUGUUGUGAUAGAGGCGAGGGUCCCGAUCUUUUGAUGAGAUGAUAACUAUCGAUUUGGUGGAGACGACUUUGACGAUCCGACUACAAACGUGCACGACGUUGCGCCUUAGCAAUCGCUAAACCAAUCUCCUGAGGUUACUGACGAUGCUGGAAGCACGGUCAGCCUGACCACGAAGGUCUAUUCCUGCAAGCAAUCGAAGAACGAGCAAGAAUAUGAUAAAGCAAUCUGAAUAUUGCAAAUAUAUAUGAAGUAUUGAUAAUGGUGGGGAUCCGGAAGCGGUCUUGGUCUGGUCGUUGGACACAAACGAAGUACACGAAGUUGCAAUGGCUAACUUUUAACAAAACAAAUCCCAAGGAAAAGCUACUAGAUGGAUCUACUUAUAUAGGAGCAAGGGGUGGCGGCCAAGGAGGUGGGAGGACGUCCCAAGGCAGCCUAAAACUAAAUCUUGGUCGUACAAGGCCAAUGGGCCCAAGUGGAGGUGAUGUAACACCUUUGGACUUGUAGUUUGACUCGGAUUCUGCUGCAGCAUCAGAUUGUUUCGUCCACAACUCAACGUUCCGGACGAAUUUGAAGGUGAUUCCAAUUGGGUUGGAAAGUGCACGAAAUCUAGUUUCCAACAAAAAAAGAAUCACCCAAUUCGGAGUCCGUAUGAAAAACUUGUGUGCGUUUUGAGUCAGGUGUGUCUGUGCAGUCCGAAUCUGAAUCCAGAACGUGAGAGACUUGGACUCUAUCUUCUCUUGGGCCAAAAGUGACGUGAGAGAACUUUUUGGACAGCAAAUAAACAUCUCUUUCUUCCUUAUCUUCAUAUGUGGAUUGUACAAAUGUCCCAUACACCUGCAAUUAGACAAAACACAAAAGUGUGUGAAGUAUUUUUGUUCUGGAUAACAUAAAUAGAUUAUUGAAUAGUUUGCACUACAAAUCACCUGACAAAUAUGCAUAUAUGCAAUAUUUUUGGUCAUAUUCAAGGUAGUCAUGUCCUCAUCAUCCUCCCCUUCUUGAAAAUAAAGCCGUCCUCGGCGUUGCUUAAUCUGAAAUGUGGCUAACAAAAGAGACAAGGUGUACAUGUUGUAUAUGUAUAUGUCAUCCAUUUUUACUUCCCUUGAUUUUUGCAUAUAUGACACAUGAAUAGAUGAGUAACUUGCAUAGUUCAUAAAAUCUAAAGCCAAAAAAUUAGCACAAGAAGUAGAAGGCAUGAAAAUAUUGCAACUCAGUUUGCACAUAUAAGUGAAGCUCUUAUUCAUUUCAAAAUAUUGACAAUGUUCAUCAUUAAACCAUCCCAACAUUGGUGAAUAAACCUUACUUGCAUCAAAUUUAUAUGCUACAACAUGCUUAAAUAAGCAAACAUGCAAUAAGUCAUUCAACACAGAAUCAUCACCAAGAUUAGAGGUCAUAUCAAAAUGAUUAAACAUUGGUUCUUUUGCAUCAAUAGUUAAUUCAAUGGGUGCACUCAAAAUUGUUGGUAUUUCAGUUGUUUGAUCACAUGGCAAAGUCAAAUUAUCAACGUAGUCCUCUAAAAUAGGUGGUGUGAUCAAAGUAGUGGGUAGCGCAUCAGAUGGUGCAUUCAAAUUGACAAGGCAUUCAUCAUUCUCAUGUAGAGAUGGAAGAUCAGUACCUUUGUCAUUACCUCUUAUGAUCAACUCAGAUGAUGUAGCCACUCUCGGGGGCGAUGUGUCACAUGGUGGAGGUGAUGUAGUCCUGACAACAACGGAUGUGGUUGUCAUAGUAUGCCUAGUAGUUGAAGGAACAAUCAUAUCAACUCUUGGAAUGUGCACCGUGCGCUUGUUCUCCUCGUGGCCAACACGUCGUUUUAUUUCCUGUUCAGCUUUGCAAGCAAGAUGAAACAAAUGGUCCAUAGGAUAACACUCUUCAUGAAUUAGUAUCUCUUGAAUAUCACGGUUUAAUCCUCCACAAAAUCUAUCCAUAAAAUCAUCUUCACUUUCUUCUAAAGAGGAAUGCAACAAGGUAGUUUGUAAAUCAUCAUAAUAUUUUGUUACAGUUUCACUACCUUGUUUUAAGUGUUGCAACUUCUUAAUCAUGUCACGAGUAUAAUAAGCAGGGACGAAAGUAUGUCGCAUGGCAAGUUUCAAAUCAUCCCAAGUAGUAGGUAUAUAAUCAGGGUGUAACCGACAAUAUUCACUCCACCAAACCAAAGCAUAACCAGUGAAAGAACCAACCGCAACCUUAACCUUUUUAUGUUCAUCGAAAUUAUGGGAAGCAAAUAUAUUUUUUAUGUCAAACUCCCAUUCAAUAUAUAAAGCAGGUUUAAAACGGCCAUUAAAUGGUGGUAUAGAUACAUUAACCUGAUCAUGUGCAUUUGGAUGUUUGUGCACCUCUCGUGACGGUUGUGGUAUUUGCAAAGGUGGUGGCACGUCUCCCGCGAUCGACAAAGCCCAUGAAUUGACUCUGGAUCCUGUCAUGAUUAGUAGAACAAGAAACAAAAAAAAUCGGCACAAACUUUUUCAGAGGAAAGUUGGAGACAAAGUUGUUGAUAUAUCCUGCUUGGCUGUUGUUUCACCUCAUUAUCUUCACUGCUGUUGUGAUCUUCACUUAUAUCUUGCUGUCAAGAGCUACUUAGUAUCCUUCAUUGAUGCUAGUUGUGCUACGCCGUGACCUCAUUAGUGUUCUAGGCUCGCGUCUCUAGUCCGGUCUAGCCUAGGACCAGCACAGUACCGUCGUUGAGCGUUUAUUCAACAUUGCAUCUUUGAAUUGAUUAUUGCUAAUCUUUUGCUACCAUAUAUAGCCAACCCAGCUCCACAUAUUUCUACACCGUGUAUACGUACGCUCCCCUGGCAAUCGCUUUACUCAAUAUUCGGAGUUACUUGACACCGCUGGUUGCCGAUCACCGCCUGCUGCAUGGUAAGAACUUGUAAGACAUUGAUAUUUGCUUUACUGUGGGCGUUUUACCACCACAUCCUAGUAGUUAUAGGAACAUUAUUUUUGGGUUUUGUUUCUUGUUCUACUAAUCAUGACAGGAUCCAGAGUCAAUUCAUGGGCUUUGUCGAUCGCGGGAGACGUGCCACCACCUUUGCAAAUACCACAACCGUCACGAGAGGUGCACAAACAUCCAAAUGCACAUGAUCAGGUUAAUGUAUCUAUACCACCAUUUAAUGGCCGUUUUAAACCUGCUUUAUAUAUUGAAUGGGAGUUCGACAUAAAAAAUAUAUUUGCUUCCCAUAAUUUCAAUGAACAUAAAAAGGUUAAGGUUGCGGUUGGUUCUUUCACUGGUUAUGCUUUGGUUUGGUGGAGUGAAUAUUGUCGGUUACACCCUGAUUAUAUACCUACUACUUGGGAUGAUUUGAAACUUGCCAUGCGACAUACUUUCGUCCCUGCUUAUUAUACUCGUGACAUGAUUAAGAAGUUGCAAGACUUAAAACAAGGUAGUGAAACUGUAACAAAAUAUUAUGAUGAUUUACAAACUACCUUGUUGCAUUCCUCUUUAGAAGAAAGUGAAGAUGAUGAGGACAUGACUACCUUGGAUAUGACCAAAAAUAUUGCAUAUAUGCAUAUUUGUCAGGUGAUUUCUAGUGCAAACUAUUCAAUAAUCUAUUUAUGUUAUCCAGAACAAAAAUACUUCACACACUUUUGUGUUUUGUCUAAUUGCAGGUGUAUGGGACAUUUGUACAAUCCACAUAUGAAGAUAAGGAAGAAAGAGAUGUUUAUUUGCUGUCCAAAAAGUUCUCUCACGUCACUUUUGGCCCAAGAGAAGAUAGAGUCCAAGUCUCUCACGUUCUGGAUUCAGAUUCGGACUGCACAGACACACCUGACUCAAAACGCACACAAGUUUUUCAUACGGACUCCGAAUUGGGUGAUUCUUUUUUUGUUGGAAACUAGAUUUCGUGCACUUUCCAACCCAAUUGGAAUCACCUUCAAAUUCGUCCGGAGCGUUGAGUUGUGGACGAAACAAUCAGAUGCUGCAGCAGAAUCCGAGUCAAACUACAAGUCCAAAGGUGUUACAUCACCUCCACUUGGGCCCAUUGGCCUUGUACGACCUAGAUUUAGUUUUAGGCUGCCUUGGGACGUCCUCCCACCUCCUUGGCCUCCACCCCUUGCUCCUAUAUAAGUAGAUCCAUCUAGUAGCUUUUCCUUGGGAUUUGUUUAGUUAAAAGUUAGCCAACGCAACUUCGUGUACUUCGUUUGUGUCCAACGACCAGACCAAGACCGCUUUCGGAUCCCCACCUUUAUCAAUACUUCAUACAUAUUUGCAAUAUUCAGAUUGCUUUUAUCAUAUUCUUGCUCGUUCUUCGAUUGCUUGCAGGAAUAGACCUUCGUGGUCAGGUUGAUCGUGCACCGGCGUGGUCAAUAACCUCUGGAGAUUGGUUUAGCGAUUGCUAAGGCGCAACGUCGUGCACGUUUGUAGUCGGAUCGUCAAAGUCGUCUCCACCAAAUCGAUAGUUACCAUCUCAUCGAAAGAUCGGGACCCUCGUCUCUAUCAAUAUAGCCACUCUCGGGGGCGAUGUGUCACAUGGUGGAGGUGAUGUAGUCCUGACAACAACGGAUGUGGUUGUCAUAGUAUGCCUAGUAGUUGAAGGAACAAUCAUAUCAACUCUUGGAAUGUGCACCGUGCGCUUGUUCUCCUCGUGGCCAACACGUCGUUUUAUUUCCUGUUCAGCUUUGCAAGCAAGAUGAAACAAAUGGUCCAUAGGAUAACACUCUUCAUGAAUUAGUAUCUCUUGAAUAUCACGGUUUAAUCCUCCCCAAAAUCUAUCCAUAAAAUCAUCUUCACUUUCUUCUAAAGAGGAAUGCAACAAGGUAGUUUGUAAAUCAUCAUAAUAUUUUGUUACAGUUUCACUACCUUGUUUUAAGUGUUGCAACUUCUUAAUCAUGUCACGAGUAUAAUAAGCAGGGACGAAAGUAUGUCGCAUGGCAAGCUUCAAAUCAUCCCAAGUAGUAGGUAUAUAAUCAGGGUGUAACCGACAAUAUUCACUCCACCAAACCAAAGCAUAACCAGUGAAAGAACCAACCGCAACCUUAACCUUUUUAUGUUCAUCGAAAUUAUGGGAAGCAAAUAUAUUUUUUAUGUCGAACUCCCAUUCAAUAUAUAAAGCAGGUUUAAAACGGCCAUUAAAUGGUGGUAUAGAUACAUUAACCUGAUCAUGUGCAUUUGGAUGUUUGUGCACCUCUCGUGACGGUUGUGGUAUUUGCGAAGGUGGUGGCACGUCUCCCGCGAUCGACAAAGCCCAUGAAUUGACUCUGGAUCCUGUCAUGAUUAGUAGAACAAGAAACAAAACCCAAAAAUAAUGUUCCUAUAACUACUAGGAUGUGGUGGUGAAUCGCUCACAGUAAAGCAAAUAUCAAUGUCUUACAAGUUCUUACCAUGCAGCAGGCGGUGAUCGGCAACCAGCGGUGUCAAGUAACUCCGAAUAUUGAGUAAAGCGAUUGCCAGGGAAGCGUACGUAUACACGGUGUAGAAAUAUGUGGAGCUGGGUUGGCUAUAUAUGGUAGCAAAAGAUUAGCAAUAAUCAAUUCAAAGAUGCAAUGUUGAAUAAACGCUCAACGAUGGUACUGUGCUGGUCCUAGGCUAGACCGGACUAGAGACACGAGCCUAGAACACUAAUAAGGUCACGGCGUAGCACAACUAGCAUCAAUGAAGGAUGCUAAAUAGCUCUUGACAGCAAGAUAUAAGUGAAGAUCACAACGGCAGUGAAGAUAAUGAUGAAAAACAACUGCCAAGCAGGAUAUACAACAACUCUCUCUCCAACUUUCCUCUUGAAAAGUUUGAGACAAUUUUCUGAUAAAUUCUUUCAAAGAAUGCUACUAACUCAAGCUUUCCAAUGCAAAAAGAAUCACUCAAUUCCGAGUUGAUAUGAGGAGUCAAAGAAUUCUAAAACUGGCCUGAAAAAUUGGAACAAGCUGUGUUCACGAACUUCGGAGGGCAAAAAGACCUAUUUACAGCCGAUUUUGAGGUGUCAAAUAUUGAACAAGCUUCUGCAACUAUUUAGAUGCGGCUCGUCGCUAUCUUCAAUUUGAGUACUCACGGAGCCAAAACGGACUUCGUAUGAGGAAGAUACACCUGUUUUACUGAACAGUGCGCAAAACAGAUUCCAAUCCGAAUUCAGGUACGAGAUUGAUUCUAGAUAUAUCCAAUUUUUUUUCUUCUCUCUUUUUUUUCUCACGCUUUUUUUUCUUUUUCUUCUCCCUCUUUUUCUUUUUUUUUCCUUUUUUCUCUCUUUUUUUUCUUUAUAUUCUUUUUCUCCCUCUUUCCAAGACAAACUAGAUAAGAUGCAGAUUCGAUCAGGCGAAGAUGUGAGUGACCUCAACUAUGAUUAUGACAAUAAACAGUGCGUAGCACGUGGUGGAAAUUGGUGGAUGGGAUGGUGGACAUCGAAUGGGAUAAUGAUGCAGCGGCUGCGUGACUAAUAUGAACAGAACUCGAAACUCUAAAGGAACUAGACACUAAGACCAGCAACUCGACACGGCGAUGCAACCGAUAAUUCAAUAAUGCAAACAAUGAAAAGAAAAUUGCAAAGGCUCAGUCUGGCUAGGACAAAGGAUGAAUAGAUCUAACUUUUGUUUUGUGGCUUUUUCUUGGAGAAUAGGUAAGAAAAUAAAUCUAAUCUAGGAAAAACUGGAAAUUCUCACCGAGCAACCUGAAAACUGAUACCACUUGAUAGAGGCGGGGUGAUAGAGACAAAGGUGUCCCGAUCUUUCGAUGAGAUGAUAACUAUCGAUUUGGUGGAGACGACUUUGACGAUCCGACUACAAACGUGCAACGACGUUGUGCCUUAGCAAUCGCUAAACCAACUCCGAGAGGUUAUUGACCACGCCGGAGCACGAUCAACCUGACCACGAAGGUCUAUUCCUGCAAGCAAUCGAAGAACAAGCAAGAAUAUGAUAAAAGCAAUCUGAAUAUCGCGAAUAUGUAUGAAGUAUUGAUAAUGGUGGGGAUCCGAAAAGUGGUCUUGGUCUGGUCGUUGGACACAAACGAAGUACACGAAGUUGCAAUGGCUAACUUUUAACUAAACAAAUCCCAAGGAAAAGCUACUAGAUGGAUCUACUUAUAUAGGAGCAAGGGGUGGCGGCCAAGGAGGUGGGAGGACGUCCCAGGGCAGCCUAAAACUAAAUCUAGGUCGUACAAGGCCAAUGGGCCCAAGUGGAGGUGAUGUAACACCUUUGGACUUGUAGUUUGACUCGGAUUCUGCUGCAGCAUCAGAUUGUUUCGUCCACAACUCAACGCUCUGGACGAAUUUGAAGGUGAUUUCAAUUGGGUUGGAAAGUGCACGAAAUCUAGUUUCCAACAAAAAAAGAAUCACCCAAUUCGGAGUCCGUAUGAAAAACUUGUGUGUGUUUUGAGUCAGGUGUGUCUGUGCAGUCCGAAUCUGAAUCCAGAACGUGAGAGACUUGGACUCUAUCUUCUCUUGGGCCAAAAGUGACGUGAGAGAACUUUUUGGACAGCAAAUAAACAUCUCUUUCUUCCUUAUCUUCAUAUGUGGAUUGUACAAAUGUCCCAUACACCUGCAAUUAGACAAAACACAAAAGUGUGUGAAGUAUUUUUGUUCUAGAUAACAUAAAUAGAUUAUUGAAUAGUUUGCACUAGAAAUCACCUGACAAAUAUGCAUAUAUGCAAUAUUUUUGGUCAUAUCCAAGGUAGUCAUGUCCUCAUCACAGGGCCUGUGGGUGUAACAAUGGUAUUGAUGUCCUCAUCAUCCUCCCCUUCUUGAAAUGAAGUCGUCCUCGACGGAAACUCAUCUUCCUCACCCAAAUAAGGCUUCAAAUCUGCAAUGUUAAAAUUGGGACUAACCCCAAAAUCUGCAGGCAGCUCAAGUUUAUAUGCAUUAUCAUUUAUUUUCUCUAACACCUUAAAGGGACCAUCAGCACGUGGCAUUAGCUUUGAUUUGCGCAAAUCAGGAAAUCUAUCCUUACGCAAAUGUAACCAAACAAGAUCUCCAAGUGCAAACACAACAUGUUUUCUACCCUUAUCUCCAGCAAGUUUAUAUUUAGCAUUCAUACGCUCAAUGUUUUCCUUAGUGAACUCAUGCAUUUUUAAAAUCAAUUCAGCACGUUGUUUAGCAUCAAAAUUAACCUUCUCCGAAGAUGGAAGAGGCAACAAAUCAAUAGGUGCACGAGGUAGGAAACCAUACACAACUUCAAAAGGGCACAUCUUAGUAGUAGAAUGCAAUGAACGAUUAUAAGCAAAUUCAAUAUGAGGCAAGCAUUCCUCCCACAUUUUCUUAUUAUUCUUCAAAACAGCCCUAAGCAUAGUAGACAACGUUCUAUUGACUACUUCAGUUUGUCCAUCAGUUUGGGGGUGACAAGUAGUACUAAAAAGCAGUUUAGUCCCCAACUUAGCCCAUAAACAUCUCCAAAAGUGGCUAAGAAAUUUAGUAUCACGAUCUGAAACAAUAGUAUUUGGCACACCAUGCAAGCGAAUAAUUUCACGAAAGAACAAAUCAGCAACAUUAACAGCAUCAUCGCUUUUAUGACAUGGUAUAAAGUGUGCCAUUUUCGAGAAUCUAUCCACGACAACAAAUAUGCUAUCCCUCCCCAUCUUUGUUCGAGGUAAACCUAAAACAAAGUCCAUAGAUAUAUCCUCCCAAGGAACACUAGGUACAGGCAAAGGCAUAUAUAAACCAUGAGGAUUGAGUCGUGACUUAGCUUUUUGACAUGUAGUGCAGCGAGCAAUAAAACGCUCAACAUCCCGUCUCAUCGUUGGCCAAAAGAAAUGUGUAGCAAGUACGUCCUCCGUCUUCUUCACGCCAAAGUGUCCCAUUAAUCCUCCUCCAUGCGCCUCCUGCUACAACAAAAGACGAACGGAGCUAGCUGGAAUGCAUAGCUUGUUAGCACGAAAUACAAAUCCAUCGUUAACAACAAACUUGUUCCACAUUCUUCCUUCUUUACAAUCCUGCAUUACAUCUUUAAAAUCAGCAUCAUGCACAUAUUGAUCUUUGAUGGUCUCCAAACCAAAUAUUUUGAAGUCAAGUUGUGAAAGUGAUAGAGGCGAGGGUCCCGAUCUUUCGAUGAGAUGAUAACUAUCGAUUUGGUGGAGACGACUUUGACAAUCCGACUACAAACGUGCACGACGUUGCGCCUUAGCAAUCGCUAAACCAAUCUCCUGAGGUUACUGACGAUGCUGGAAGCACGGUCAGCCUGACCACGAAGGUCUAUUCCUGCAAGCAAUCGAAGAACGAGCAAGAAUAUGAUAAAGCAAUCUGAAUAUUGCAAAUAUAUAUGAAGUAUUGAUAAUGGUGGGGAUCCGAAAAGUGGUCUUGGUCUGGUCGUUGGACACAGACGAAGUACACGAAGUUGCAAUGGCUAACUUUUAACUAAACAAAUCCCAAGGAAAAGCUACUAGAUGGAUCUACUUAUAUAGGAGCAAGGGGUGGCGGCCAAGGAGGUGGGAGGACGUCCCAAGGCAGCCUAAAACUAAAUCUAGGUCGUACAAGGCCAAUGGGCCCAAGUGGAGGUGAUGUAACACCUUUGGACUUGUAGUUUGACUCGGAUUCUGCUGCAGCAUCAGAUUGUUUCGUCCACAACUCAACGCUCUGGACGAAUUUGAAGGUGAUUUCAAUUGGGUUGGAAAGUGCACGAAAUCUAGUUUCCAACAAAAAAAGAAUCACCCAAUUCGGAGUCCGUAUGAAAAACUUGUGUGUGUUUUGAGUCAGGUGUGUCUGUGCAGUCCGAAUCUGAAUCCAGAACGUGAGAGACUUGGACUCUAUCUUCUCUUGGGCCAAAAGUGACGUGAGAGAACUUUUUGGACAGCAAAUAAACAUCUCUUUCUUCCUUAUCUUCAUAUGUGGAUUGUACAAAUGUCCCAUACACCUGCAAUUAGACAAAACACAAAAGUGUGUGAAAUAUUUUUGUUCUGGAUAACAUAAAUAGAUUAUUGAAUAGUUUGCACUAGAAAUCACCUGACAAAUAUGCAUAUAUGUAAUAUUUUUGGUCAUAUCCAAGGUAGUCAUGUCCUCAUCAUCCUCCCCUUCUUGAAAAUAAAGCCGUCCUCGGCGUUGCUUAAUCUGAAAUGUGGCUAACAAAAGAGACAAGGUGUACAUGUUGUAUAUGUAUAUGUCAUCCAUUUUUACUUCCCUUGAUUUUUGCAUAUAUGACACAUGAAUAGAUGAGUAACUUGCAUAGUUCAUAAAAUCUAAAGCCAAAAAAUUAGCACAAGAAGUAGAAGGCAUGAAAAUAUUGCAGCUCAGUUUGCACAUAUAAGUGAAGCUCUUACUCAUUUCAAAAGAUUGACAAUGUUCAUCAUUAAACCAUCCCAACAUUGGUGAAUAAACCUUACUUGCAUCAAAUUUACAUGCUACAACAUGCUUAAAUAAGCAAACAUGCAAUAACUCAUUCAACACAGAAUCAUCACCAAGAUUAGAGGUCAUAUCAAAAUGAUUAAACAUUGGUUCUUUUGCAUCAAUAGUUAAUUCAAUGGGUGCACUCAAAAUUGUUGGUAUUUCAGUUGUUUGAUCACAUGGCAAAGUCAAAUUAUCAACGUAGUCCUCUAAAAUAGGUGGUGUGAUCAAAGUAGUGGGUAGCUCAUCAGAUGGUGCAUUCAAAUUGACAAGGCAUUCAUCAUUCUCAUGUAGAGAUGGAAGAUCAGUACCUUUGUCAUUACCUCUUAUGAUCAACUCAGAUGAUGUAGCCACUCUCGGGGCCGAUGUGUCACAUGGUGUAGGCGAUGUAGUCCUGAUAACAACGGAUGUGGUUGUCAUAGUAUGCCUAGUAGUUGAAGGAACAAUCAUAUCAACUAUUGGAAUGUGCACCGUGCGCUUGUUCUCCUCGUGGCCAACACGUCGUUUUAUUUCCUGUUCAGCUUUGCAAGCAAGAUGAAACAAAUGGUCCAUAGGAUAACACUCUUCAUGAAUUAGUAUCUCUUGAAUAUCACGGUUUAAUCCUCCCCAAAAUCUAUCCAUAAAAUCAUCUUCACUUUCUUCUAAAGAAGAAUGCAACAAGGUAGUUUGUAAAUCAUCAUAAUAUUUUGUUACAGUUUCACUACCUUGUUUUAAGUGUUGCAACUUCUUAAUCAUGUCACGAGUAUAAUAAGCAGGGACGAAAGUAUGUCGCAUGGCAAGUUUCAAGUCAUCCCAAGUAGUAGGUAUAUAAUCAGGGUGUAACCGACAAUAUUCACUCCACCAAACCAAAGCAUAACCAGUGAAAGAACCAACCGCAACCUUAACCUUUUUAUGUUCAUUGAAAUUAUGGGAAGCAAAUAUAUUUUUUAUGUCGAACUCCCAUUCAAUAUAUAAAGCAGGUUUAAAACGGCCAUUAAAUGGUGGUAUAGAUACAUUAACCUGAUCAUGUGCAUUUGGAUGUUUGUGCACCUCUCGUGACGGUUGUGGUAUUUGCAAAGGUGGUGGCACGUCUCCCGCGAUCGACAAAGCCCAUGAAUUGACUCUGGAUCCUGUCAUGAUUAGUAGAACAAGAAACAAAACCCAAAAAUAAUGUUCCUAUAACUACUAGGAUGUGGUGGUAAAACGCUCACAGUAAAGCAAAUAUCAAUGUCUUACAAGUUCUUACCAUGCAGCAGACGGUGAUCGGUAACCAGCGGUGUCAAGUAACUCCGAAUAUUGACUAAAGCGAUUGCCAGGGGAGCGUACGUAUACACGGUGUAGAAAUAUGUGGAGCUGGGUUGGCUAUAUAUGGUAUCAAAAGAUUAGCAAUAAUCAAUUCAAAGAUGCAAUGUUGAAUAAACGCUCAACGACGGUACUGUGCUGGUCCUACGCUAGACCGGACUAGAGACGCGAGCCUAAAACACUAAUGAGGUCACGGCGUAGCACAACUAGCAUCAAUGAAGGAUACUAAGUAGCUCUUGACAGCAAGAUAUAAGUGAAGAUCACAACGGCAGUGAAGAUAAUGAUGAAAAACAACUGCCAAGCAGGAUAUACAACAACUCUCUCUCCAACUUUCCUCUUGAAAAGUUUGAGACAAUUUUCUGAUAAAUUCUUUCAAAGAAUGCUACUAACUCAAGCUUUCCAAUGCAAAAAGAAUCACUCAAUUCCGAGUUGAUAUGAGGAGUCAAAGAAUUUUAAAACUGGCCUGAAAAAUUGGAACAAGCUAUGUUCACGAACUUCAGAGGGCAAAAAGACCUAUUUAGAAGCCGAUUUUGAGGUGUCAAAUAUUGAACAAGCUUCUGCAACUAUUUAGAUGCGGCUCGUCUCUAGCUUCAAUUUGAGUACUCACAGAGCCAAAACGGACUUCGUAUGAGGAAGAUACACAUGUUUUACUGAACAGUGCGCAAAACAGAUUCCAAUCCGAAUUCAGGUACGAGAUUGAUUCUAGAUAGAUUCGAUUUUUUUUCUCUCCUUUUUUUUCUCACGCUUUUUUUUAUUUUUCUUCUCUCUUUUUUUCUUUUUUCUUUCCAAGACAAACUAGAUAAGAUGCAGAUUGGAUCAGGCGAAGAUGUGAAUGACCUCAACUAUGAUUAUGACAAUGAACAGUGCGUAGCAUGUGGUGGAAAUUAAUAGAUGGGAUGGUGGACAUCGGAAGGGAUAAUGAUGCAGCGGCGGCGUGACUAAUGUGAACAGAACUCGAAACUCUAAAGGAACUAGACGCUAAGACCAGCAACUGACACGACGAUGCAACCGAUAAUUCAACUAUGCAAGCAAUGAAUAGAAAAUUGCAAAGGCUCAGACUGGCUUGGAUAAAGGAUGAACAGAUCUAACUUUUUUUGUGUGGCUUUUUCUUGGACAAUAGGUAAGAAAAUAAAUCUAAUCUAGGAAAACUGGAUAUUCUCACCGAGCAACCUGAAAACUGAUACCACUUGAUAGAGACAAAGGUGUCCCGAUCUUUCGAUGAGAUGAUAACUAUCGAUUUGGUGGAGACGACUUUGACGAUCCGACUACAAACGUGCAACGACGUUGUGCCUUAGCAAUCGCUAAACCAACUCCGAGAGGUUAUUGACCACGCCGGAGCACGAUCAACCUGACCACGAAGGUCUAUUCCUGCAAGCAAUCGAAGAACAAGCAAGAAUAUGAUAAAAGCAAUCUGAAUAUCGCGAAUAUGUAUGAAGUAUUGAUAAUGGUGGGGAUCCGAAAAGUGGUCUUGGUCUGGUCGUUGGACACAAACGAAGUACACGAAGUUGCAAUGGCUAAUUUUUAACUAAACAAAUCCCAAGGAAAAGCUACUAGAUGGAUCUACUUAUAUAGGAGCAAGGGGUGGCGGCCAAGGAGGUGGGAGGACGUCCCAAGGCAGCCUAAAACUAAAUCUAGGUCGUACAAGGCCAAUGGGCCCAAGUGGAGGUGAUGUAACACCUUUGGACUUGUAGUUUGACUCGGAUUCUGCUGCAGCAUCAGAUUGUUUCGUCCACAACUCAACGCUCUGGACGAAUUUGAAGGUGAUUUCAAUUGGGUUGGAAAGUGCACGAAAUCUAGUUUCCAACAAAAAAAGAAUCACCCAAUUCGGAGUCAGUAUGAAAAACUUGUGUGUGUUUUGAGUCAGGUGUGUCUGUGCAGUCCGAAUCUGAAUCCAGAACGUGAGAGACUUGGACUCUAUCUUCUCUUGGGCCAAAAGUGACGUGAGAGAACUUUUUGGAUAGCAAAUAAACAUCUCUUUCUUCCUUAUCUUCAUAUGUGGAUUGUACAAAUGUCCCAUACACCUGCAAUUAGACAAAACACAAAAGUGUGUGAAGUAUUUUUGUUCUGGAUAACAUAAAUAGAUUAUUGAAUAGUUUGCACUAGAAAUCACCUGACAAAUAUGCAUAUAUGCAAUAUUUUUGGUCAUAUCCAAGGUAGUCAUGUCCUCAUCACGGGGGUGUCCCGAUCUUUCGAUGAGAUGAUAACUAUCGAUUUGGUGGAGACGACUUUGACGAUUCGACUACAAACGUGCACGACGUUGCGCCUUAGCAAUCGCUAAACCAACUCCGAGAGGUUAUUGACCACGCCAGAGCACAAUCAACCUGACCACGAAGGUCUAUUCCUGCAAGCAAUCGAAGAACAAGCAAGAAUAUGAUAAAGCAAUCUGAAUAUUGCGAAUAUAGAAGACGUAUUGAUAAAGGUGGGGAUCCGUAAACGGUCUUGGUCUGGUCGUUGGACACAAACAAAGUACACGAAGUUGCAAUGGCUAACUUUUAACUAAACAAAUCCCAAGGAAAAUCUACUAGAUGGAUCUACUUAUAUAGGAGCAAGGGGUGGCGGCCAAGGAGGUGGGAGGACGUCCCAAGGCAGCCUAAAACUAAAUCUAGGUCGUACAAGGCCAAUGGGCCCAAGUGGAGGUGAUGUAACACCUUUGGACUUGUAGUUUGACUCGGAUUCUGCUGCAGCAUCAGAUUGUUUCGUCCAUAACUCAACGCUCCGGACGAAUUUGAAGGUGAUUCCAAUUGGGUUGGAAAGUGCACAAAAUCUAGUUUCCAACAAAAAAAGAAUCACCCAAUUCGGAGUCCGUAUGAAAAACUUGUGUGCGUUUUGAGUCAGGUAUGUCUGUGCAGUCCGAAUCUGAAUCCAGAACGUGAGAGACUUGGACUCUAUCUUCUCUUGGCCCAAAAGUGACGUGAGAGGACUUUUUGAACACAACAUAAACUUCUCCUUUUCCCUUAUCUUCAUAUGUGGGUUGUACAAAUGUCCCAUACACCUGCAAUUAGACAAAACACAAAAGUGUGUGAAGUAUUUUUGUUCUGGAUAACAUAGAUAGAUUAUUGAAUAGUUUGCACUAGAAAUCACCUGACAAAUAUGCAUAUAUGCAAUAUUUUUGGUCAUAUCCAAGGUAGUCAUGUCCUCAUCAAGAUAUGUUCCUGAUAUAUAUCUUACUUGGGAGUUAGAAACUGAACAACGUUUUACAUGUUUACAAUAUCCCGAGGAGAGACGGGUUGCUGCUGCUGUUUGUGCUUUCACUAGUUUUGCAUGUGUCUGGUGGUCUGAACAUUGUAGAUUAUAUCCUAUUCCAACUACUUGGGCUGCUUUGAAAACCGCUAUGCGUACGCGUUGGGUUCCACCAUAUUAUCAACGUGAAUUGCUUCAAAAAUUGCAGCGUUUAAGACAAGGAAAAAAUUCUGUAGAAGAAUAUUAUCAGGAAUUACAAACUGGCAUGAUUCGAUGUGGUAUUGUUGAGGAGAAUGAAGCUAUGCUUGCACGUUUUCUGGGUGGAUUAAAAAGAGAGAUUCAGACCAUUCUAGACUAUAAGGAGUAUACUAAUAUCACUCGUUUAUUCCAUCUUGCUUGUAAAGCUGAACGUGAAGUGCAGGAUCGACAAGCAUUAGCGCGAACUAACUUUUCUGCAGGCCGACCUUCAUCAUGGACACCGCGUGCAUCUUCUACUUCAACUGCACCAGCACCUCAACCAGGUGCCUCAUACAGCCGUGAUACAAGAAAACAGGAACAACCACCAUUAUCUGCCAAGAGCGCACCUGCCGGGCCUGCACAGAGUUCUUCUUCUUCCAGGGUAUCAACAGGGCACACAAGUGAUAUUAUUUGUCGUCGUUGUAAGGGAGGAGGUCAUUAUGCGAGAGAAUGCAAAUCUCCGCGUGUGAUGAUUGCUACCGAGGGUGGUGGAUAUGAGUCCGCUAGUCACUCUGAUGAGGAGACAUUGGCUCUUAUUACACGUGAAGAACAUGGUGGAGAUGAUUCUGAUCAUGAGACGCAAUACAUGUGAUGAGGACAUGACUACCUUGGAUAUGACCAAAAACAUUGCAUAUAUGCAUAUUUGUCAGGUGAUUUCUAGUGCAAACUAUUCAAUAAUCUAUUUAUGUUAUCCAGAACAAAAAUACUUCACACACUUUUGUGUUUUGUCUAAUUGCAGGUGUAUGGGACAUUUGUACUGAUAGAGGCAAAGGUGUCCCGUCUUUCGAUGAGAUGAUGGAUAUUGCUUUGGUGGCAGUCGACUUUGACGAUCCGACUACGAACGUGCGAGGACGUCACGCCUUAGCAAUCGCUAAACCAACUCCGAGAGGUUAUUGACCACGCUGGAGCACGAUCAACCUGACCACGAGGGUCUGUUUCCUGCGAGCAAACGAAGAACAAGCAAGAAACUGAGAUUGCAAUCUGGAUAUUGCGAAUAUAAGAUGAAAGCUUUAUUGAUCAAGGUGGGGUUCUAUGACGCCUUUGUCUGGUCGUUGAACACAAACGAAGUACGCAAAGUUGCAGCUAUGGCGAACUUUUAAUCUAAACAAAACCCAAAGUCUAAACGAUGCCCUAAGGGCUGUAUAUAUGGAGGAAGAGGGGGGGAAUUUCGUGGCCCUUGGUGGAGGGGUCCGAAAUCAACCCUAUCUCUUGUUUCCCCACACAUACGGACUCUUAAAAUAGCCUAUACUUAUGUAUUUCGAAAUUACAUGGGCCUGGCCCACUAAUAAGGUGACGCAGCACCUAAAAUAGCCUCGGGACGAAAUUUAUGAAGUGGCAUCUUGUAUAUUUCGUCCAAGGCUUCAUGCACCCAUUAUGGUGGCUUCAAAGUCCUGAAAUCAUCACUUGUAACUCCGUUCUUGUUCCCCUUGCGCAUGCCAUCAUCUCCAUGCUUGUUCUUGCUCCAAUGUUCAUCCUUCUCCAAGCUAGGCCCUUCAUUUGUAAGCAAAACAAAUGUAUCCAAUUUAGGCAGCAUCAUAUUCUCAUGAACAUUAGAAUCAUUACCAAGAAACGGAAGUACCUGGUAAUUUAGUUGGCGUGCACGAGCUCUAGUAAUUGGUCCAGUAUGUAUAGCAGCAGGGGCUGUGGGUGUAACAAUUGUAUUGAUGUCCUCAUCAUCCUCCCCUUCUUGAAAUGAAGUCGUCCUCGACGGAAGUUCAUCUUCCUCACCCAAAUAAGGCUUCAAAUCUGCAAUGUUAAAAGUGGGACUAACCCCAAAAUCUGCAGGCAGCUCAAGUUUAUAUGCAUUAUCAUUUAUUUUCUCUAACACCUUAAAGGGACCAUCAGCACGUGGCAUUAACUUUGAUUUGCGCAAAUCAGGAAAUCUAUCCUUACGCAAAUGUAACCAAACAAGAUCUCCAUGUGCAAACACAACAUGUUUUCUACCCUUAUCUCCAGCAAGUUUAUAUUUAGCAUUCAUACGCUCAAUGUUUUCCUUAGUUAACUCAUGCAUUUUUAAACUCAAUUCAGCACGUUGUUUAGCAUCAAAAUUAACCUUCUCCGAAGAUGGAAGAGGCAACAAAUCAAUAGGUGCACGAGGUAGGAAACCAUACACAACUUCAAAAGGGCACAUCUUAGUAGUAGAAUGCAAUGAACGGUUAUAAGCAAAUUCAAUAUGAGGCAAGCAUUCCUCCCACAUUUUCUUAUUAUUCUUCAAAACAGCCCUAAGCAUAGUAGACAACGUUCUAUUGACUACUUCAGUUUGUCCAUCAGUUUGGGGGUGACAAGUAGUACUAAAAAGCAGUUUAGUCCCCAACUUAGCCCAUAAACAUCUCCAAAAGUGGCUAAGAAAUUUAGUAUCACGAACGGAAACAAUAGUAUUUGGCACACCAUGCAAGCGAAUAAUUUCACGAAAGAACAAAUCAGCAACAUUAACAGCAUCAUCGCUUUUAUGACAUGGUAUAAAGAGUGCCAUUUUCGAGAAUCUAUCCACGACAACAAAUAUGCUAUCCCUCCCCUUCUUUGUUCGAGGUAAACCUAAAACAAAGUCCAUAGAUAUAUCCUCCCAAGGAACACUAGGUACAGGCAAAGGCAUAUAUAAACCAUGAGGAUUGAGUCGUGACUUAGCUUUUUGACAUGUAGUGCAGCGAGCAAUAAAACGCUCAACAUCCCGUCUCAUCUUUGGCCAAAAGAAAUGUGUAGCAAGUACGUCCUCCGUCUUCUUCACGCCAAAGUGUCCCAUUAAUCCUCCUCCAUGCGCCUCCUGCAACAACAAAAGACGAACGGAGCUAGCUGGAAUGCAUAGCUUGUUAGCACGAAACACAAAUCCAUCGUUAACAACAAACUUGUUCCACAUUCUUCCUUCUUUACAAUUCUGCAUUACAUCUUUAAAAACAGCAUCAUGCACAUAUUGAUCUUUGAUGGUCUCCAAACCAAAUAUUUUGAAGUCAAGUUGUGAAAGCAUAGUAUAGCGACGAGACAAUGCAUCAACAAUAACAUUUUCUUUUCCCUUCUUGUGUUUAAUGACAUAAGGGAAAGUCUCAAUGAAUUCAACCCAUUUAGCAUGUCUACGAUUCAGUUUAGCUUGACUUCUAAUAUGUUUCAAAGAUUCAUGAUCAGAAUGUAUAACAAAUUCUUUGGGCAUAAAUAAUGUUGCCAUGUUUCUAAAGUCCGAACAAGAGCAUAUAAUUCUUUAUCAUAAGUAGAAUAAUUCAGACUAGGCCCACUCAAUUUUUCAGAAAAGUAUGCAACAGGUUUGCCAUCUUGUAAUAACACACCUCCUAAUCCAAUUCCACUAGCAUCACAUUCAAGCUCAAAAGUCUUAUUAAAAUCAGGAAGUUGGAGUAAAGGAGCAUGUGUCAACUUAUCUUUCAAUACCGUGAAGGCUUCUUCCUGUGCGGUACCCCAAAGAAAAGGCACAUCUUUCUUUGUAAGCUCAUUAAGAGGUGCAGCAAUGGUGCUGAAAUCUCUCACAAAACGCCUAUAGAAUCCAGCGAGGCCAAGAAAACUCCUCACUUGUGUGACCGUUUUGGGCUGCGGCCAACUCUCAAUAGCUUCAAUCUUGGCUUUAUCAACUUCAAUUCCCUCUGGAGUAACAACAUAGCCAAGAAAAGAUACUCGGUCGGUGCAAAAGGUGCACUUCCCAAGGUUACCAAACAAACGUGCAUCACGUAGAGCAAUAAAAACAGCACGUAAAUGUUCCAAAUGUUCUUCCAAAGAUCUGCUAUAAAUCAAUAUGUCAUCAAAGUAAACUACCACAAAUCGUCCAAUGAAAGCACGUAAAACUUCGUUCAUUAAUCUCAUGAAAGUACUAGGUGCAUUAGUUAACCCAAAAGGCAUGACUAACCACUCAUAUAAUCCAAACUUAGUUUUAAAUGUUGUUUUCCAUUCAUCUCCCAAUUUCAUACGAAUUUGAUGGUAGCCACUACGCAAAUCAAGUUUGGAGAAUAUUGUAGAGCCACUCAAUUCAUCAAGCAUAUCAUCUAGCCUAGGAAUAGGAUGACGAUAACGAAUAGUAAUAUUAUUAAUGCCUCUACAAUCAACACACAUACGUGAUGUACCAUCCUUUUUUGGCACUAGAAUAAUAGGAACAGCAUAAGGACUAAGGGAUUCGCAUAUAUAACCUUUGUCGAGAAGCUCUUGUACUUGACGCAUAAUCUCCUUCGUCUCCUCUGGAUUGGUACGGUAUGGUGCACGGUUUGGCAAUGAAGCACCGGGAAUUAAGUCAAUCUGAUGCUCAAUCCCUCGAAUAGGCGGUAAUCCCGGUGGCACGUCUUGUGGAAAAACGCCAGCGAACUCCUGCAAAAUGUUAGUGACAGCAGGAGGCAAAGAGGAAGGCACGUCCUCGAAUGAAAAUAAUGCCUUUGUGCACACAAAAGCAUAGCAAACAGAUUUGCUGAAAUCUAACUCAUCAAUAUCAGAUUUGGUGGCAAAUAAACAUGCACUUUUCAAUUUAAUUUCAGAAACAAUACUAGAUGGUUUAUUAUUAGGCUUCAUUUGUUGCUCAAAUUCUUUUGCCACAAUCUGAUUUUCGCUCUUAUUCUUCUCCUGUUUUGCUUUAUUAGCUCUAUUAAUAUCAUCUUUCAAAAUGGAAUCAGGAGUCAUAGGAAGCAAAGUAAUAUUUUUAUCCUUAUGAACAAGAGUAUAGUGAUUGUUUCUACCAUGGUGUACAGAAUUUUUAUCAAAUUGCCAUGGUCUACCAAGCAAUAAGGAACAUGCUUGCAUAGGUACCACAUCACAAUCAACAUAAUCAGCAUAUGUAGAGAUAGUAAAAUGCACACGAAUAGUACGUGUUACCUUAACCUUGCCGCUGUUGUUGAACCAUUGGAUGUAGUAAGGAUGUGGAUGUGGUCUUGUGGUGAGAGAAAGCUUCUCCACCAUCUCCAUGCUAGCCAAGUUGUUGCAGCUCCCUCCAUCUAUGAUGACGCGCACAGAACGUUCUUUCACAACUCCCUUGGUAUGGAACAAAUUGUGCCUCUGAUUUUGCUCAGCUUGUGUGACCUGCACACUCAAAACACGUUGAGCUACUAAACAUUCAUACCUAUCAGCGUCUUCAGGAGCCAUGUAUUGCGUCUCAUGAUCAGAAUCAUCUCCACCAUGUUCUUCACGUGUAAUAAGAGCCAAAGUCUCCUCAUCAUAGUCACUAGCGGACUCAUAUCCACCAUCCGCGGUAGCAAUCAUCACACGCGGAGAUUUGCAUUCUCUCGCAUAAUGACCUCCUCCCUUACAACGACGACAAAUAAUAUCACUUGUGUGCCCUGUUGAUGCCCUGGAAGAAGAAGAACUCUGUGCAGGCCCGGCAGGUGCGCUAUUGGCAGAUAAUGGUGGUUGUUCCUGUUUUCUUGUAUCACGGCUGUAGGAGGCACCUGAUUGAGGUGCUCGUGCAGUUGAAGUAGAAGAUGCACGCGGUGUCCAUGAUGAAGGUCGGCCUGCAGAAAAGUUAGUUCGCGCCAAUGCUUGUCGAUCCUGCACUUCACGUUCAGCUUUACAAGCAAGAUGGAAUAAACGAGUGAUAUUAGUAUACUCCUUAUAGUCUAGAAUGGUCUGAAUCUCUCUAUUUAAUCCACCCAGAAAACGUGCAAGCAUAGCUUCAUUCUCCUCAACAAUACCACAUCUAAUCAUGCCAGUUUGUAAUUCCUGAUAAUAUUCUUCUACAAAAAUUUUUCCUUGUCUUAAGCGCUGUAAUUUUUGAAGCAAUUCACGUUGAUAAUAUGGUGGAACCCAACGAGUACGCAUAGCAGUUCUCAAAGCAGCCCAAGUAGUUGGAAUAGGAUAUAAUCUACAAUGUUCAGACCACCAUACACAUGCAAAACUAGUGAAAGCACAAACAGCAGCAGCAACUCGUCUCUCCUCAGGAUAUUGUAAACAUGUAAAUCGUUGUUCAGUUUCUAACUCCCAAGUAAGAUAUAUAUCAGGAACAUAUCUACCCUCAAAUGGUGGAAUAUUCAAUUUCAGUUUAGGAAUAUGGACAUCAUCUCGUACCUGAGGUGGUGGUGCAGGCCUACCAUUACGAAUAUAUACCUGAGGUCGACCUGCUGGUGGUGGUGCAGGUGGCUGCACGUAGUGCUGAUUUUGAUCAACCUCAUCCUCAUAAUCGCCCGCAUACUCAUCAUCCUCCUGGGUACCAGCAGCAGCAGUAGCAGGAGCCAAAGAAGCACCAACAGCAGUAGCAGCGGCACCAGAAUUUUGUCCUGGCUCAAUGGGAACACGCUGUGCUCGUCCAUACUGAUUCGGAAGGGGGCGUAGUUGUUGUUGUUGCAGAGGUGCGACAGGUGCAGCCGGUGGUGGAAGACGCGCAAGCAGUUCAUUAAAUCUGUUAUCGAGCUUUGUUUCGAACGUCUUCUCAAGGCCAGUGAUCUUCUCCAUGGCCUCUUCAAAAUUGUUCAGCACAUCUUGUACCUGUUCAGUCAUCAUUUGCUGAAACUUAUCAUGAAGCUCGUUGUUUGAUAAGUUCUCCCAGUCAAUCUCGUCGGCUUGUGAUCCUGGCAUGGUUAGCAGCAAUAGAAACACACAAGAAUAUGAUCCUACAGACUACUAAGAAGUGGUGGUGGUGUAUCACAAAUCCGUCAAGCAAAUCUCAAAUUCUUACCAGUUCUUACCCAGCAGCAGGCGGUGAUCGGCAACCGUUGUAGUCAAAAACUCUCAAAGCUUGGAUAGAGCGAUUACCAGGGAGAGUCAAACACACGACGUAGAUGUAUGUGGAGCUGGGAAGGCUUAUAGUAUGGUAGCAAAAAGGGUCGGCAAUAAUCAAUUUAGAGAUGCAAAGUUGAAUAAACGCUCAACGACGGUACCGUGCUGGUCCUAGGCUAGACUGUGCUAAAGACGCGAGCCUAGAACACCAACAAAAUCACGGCGCGGCACGUAAACAAGGGAAAAGCACACUCUGAAUUUUUUUUCGCUCUUUUUUUUGCGCUCUUUUUUUUUGCGUUUUUUUUUGCGAAAAAUCACUAUAAUGGCGAGUGUCUCAAAACUCUUCCUAGGUCAAACUGACAGGAUGGGCACAAAUUUUUUUUUUCGACCAAAUUUUUUUUUUCGAGUGCCCAGACCCAAAAACUGGAAACGGGUCAAAAAAAACUUCCUAUAAUGGCACCUGUCUCAAAACACUCAGAAACACCUAAAAACAGGAUAGCCAAAUUUUUUUUCGAAAAAUGCGUUUUCGAAAAAUAUUGGGCCUAAACGGAGCGUGGUUUCCGGACUCUUUUUUUUUUCGAAACCUACUCCGGCAAGGAAACACGAAUCGGAAACUAGAUGGAUCUCGAAAACAAACCUAAUAAGCAAGGAACUCGGAUUGGUGGUGGAUAUAUGGUGGUGGUAGCGGUGGUAGUAUAUGGAUAUGGAUCGGUGGUGGUAUAUGGACACGGAUUGGUGGUGGUAUAUGGAUACGGAUUCGGAGUGGUGGUGGUAGAUGGCAGGGGCGAUGAUGAUGGUGCGGCGGCGGCGUGACAACUUAUGACCAGAACUCGAAACUCUAAAAGACUAGACUCUAAGACCAGCAACAAGAUCGACGAUGCAACCGCAAAUUCAACAAAGCAAAACCCUAAAAAGAUUAUGCAAAGGCUCAGAUUGGUUCGGAUAUGAUGAACUAACCCUAAAAUUCUUUUUUUGUGGCUUUUUUGUGGACUGUAGGUAUGCAGAACAGACUCGAUCUAAACUACGAAAAACUGUAAAAUCUCACCGAGCAACCUGGAAAUCUGAUACCACUUGAUAGAGGCAAAGGUGUCCCGUCUUUCGAUGAGAUGAUGGAUAUCGCUUUGGUGGCAGUCGACUUUGACGAUCCGACUACGAACGUGCGAGGACGUCGCGCCUUAGCAAUCGCUAAACCAACUCCGAGAGGUUAUUGACCACGCCGGAGCACGAUCAACCUGACCACGAGGGUCUGUUUCCUGCGAGCAAACGAAGAACAAGCAAGAAACUGAGAUUGCAAUCUGGAUAUUGCGAAUAUAAGAUGAAAGCUUUAUUGAUCAAGGUGGGGUUCUGUGACGCCUUUGUCUGGUCGUUGAACACAAACGAAGUACGCGAAGUUGCAGCUAUGGCGAACUUUUAAUCUAAACAAAACCCAAAGUCUAAACGAUGCCCUAAGGGCUGUAUAUAUGGAGGAAGAGGGGGGGAAUUUCGUGGCCCUUGGUGGAGGGGUCCGAAAUCAACCCUAUCUCUUGUUUCCCCACACAUACGGACUCUAAAAAUAGCCUAUACUUAUGUAUUUCGAAAUUACAUGGGCCUGGCCCAAUAAUAAGGUGACGCAGCACCUAAAAUAGCCUCGGGACGAAAUUUAUGAAUUGGCAUCUUGUAUAUUUCGUCCAAGGCUUCAUGCACCCAUUAUGGUGGCUUGAAAGUCCUGAAAUCAUCACUUGUAACUCCGUUCUUGUUCCCCUUGCGCAUGCCAUCAUCUCCAUGCUUGUUCUUGCUCCAAUGUUCAUCCUUCUCCAAGCUAGGCCCUUCAUUUGUAAGCAAAACAAAUGUAUUCAAUUUAGGCAGCAUCAUAUUCUCAUGAACAUAAGAAUCAUUACCAAGAAACGAAAGUACCUGGUAAUUUAGUUGGCGUGCACGAGCUCUAGUAAGUGGUCCAGUAUGUAUAGCAGCAGGGGCUGUGGGUGUAACAAUUGUAUUGAUGUCCUCAUCAUGUACAAUCCACAUAUGAAGAUAAGGAAGAAAAAGAUGUUUAUUUGCUGUCCAAAAAGUUCUCUCACGUCACUUUUGGCCCAAGAGAAGAUAGAGUCCAAGUCUCUCACGUUCUGGAUUCAGAUUCGGACUUCACAGACAUACCUGACUCAAAACGCGCACAAGUUUUUCAUACGGACUCCGAAUUGGGUGAUUCUUUUUUUGUUGGAAACUAGAUUUCGUGCACUUUCCAACCCAAUUGGAAUCACCUUCAAAUUCGUCCGGAGCGUUGAGUUGUGGACGAAACAAUCUGAUGCUGCAGCAGAAUCCGAGUCAAACUACAAGUCCAAAGGUGUUACAUCACCUCCACUUGGGCCCAUUGGCCUUGUACGACCUAGAUUUAGUUUUAGGCUGCCUUGGGACGUCCUCCCACCUCCUUGGCCGCCACCCCUUCCUCCUAUAUAAGUAGAUCCAUCUAGUAGCUUUUCCUUGGGAUUUGUUUAGUUAAAAGUUAGCCAUUGCAACUUCGUGUACUUCGUUUGUGUCCAACGACCAGACCAAGACCGCUUCCGGAUCCCCACCAUUAUCAAUACUUCAUGUAUAUUUGCAAUAUUCAAAUUGCUUUAUCAUAUUCUUGCUCGUUCUUCGAUUGCUUGCAGGAAUAGACCUUCGUGGUCAGGCUGAUCGUGCUUCCAGCAUCGUCAGUAACCUCAGGAGAUUGGUUUAGCGAUUGCUAAGGCGCAACGUCGUGCACAUUUGUAGUCAGAUUAUCAAAGUCGUCUCCACCAAAUCGAUAGUUAUCAUCUCAUCGAAAGAUCGGGACCCUCGCCUCUAUCAAGUGGUAUCAGUUUUCAGGUUGUUCGGUGAGAAUUUCCAGUUUUCCUAGAAUAGAUUUAUUUUCUUACCUAUUGUCCAAGAAAAAGCCACAAAACAAAAGUUAGAUCUAUUCAUCCUUUGUCCUAGCCAGACUGAGCCUUUGCAAUUUUCUUUUCAUUGUUUGCAUUAUUGAAUUAUUGGUUGCAUCGCCGUGUCGAGUUGCUGGUCUUAGUCUCUAGUUCCUUUAGAGUUUCGAGUUCUGUUCACAUUAGUCACGCAGCCGCUGCAUCAUUAUCCCAUCCGCUGUCCACCAUCCCAUCCACCAAUUUCCACCAUGUGCUACACACUGUUUAUUGUCAUAAUCAUAGUUGAGGUCACUCACAUCUUCGCCUGAUCGAAUCUGCAUCUUAUCUAGUUUGUCUUGGAAAGAGGGAGAAAAAGAAGAUAAAGAAAAAAAAGAGAGAAAAAAGGAAAAAAAAGAAAAAGAGGGAGAAGAAAAAGAAAAGAAAGGCGUGAGAAAAAAAAAGAGAGAAUAAAAAAAAAUUGGAUCUAUCUAGAAUCAAUCUCGUACCUGAAUUCGGAUUGGAAUCUGUUUUGCGCAAUGUUCAGUAAAACAGGUGUAUCUUCUUCAUACGAAGUCAGAUUUGGCUCCGUGAGUACUCGAAUUGAAGAUAGCGACGAGCCACAUCUAAAUAGUUGCAGAAGCUAGUUCAAUAUUUGACACCUCAAAAUCGGCUUCUAAAUAGGUCUUUUUGCCCUCCAAAGUUCGUGAACACAACUUGUUCCAAUUUUUCAGGCCAGUUUUAGAAUUCUUUGACUCCUCAUACCAACUCGGAAUUGAGUGAUUCUUUUUGCAUUGGAAAGCUUGAGUUAGUAGCAUUCUUUGAAAGAAUUUAUCAGAAAAUUGUCUCAAACUUUUCAAGAGGAAAGUUGGAGAGAGAGUUGUUGUAUAUCGUGCUUGGCAGUUGUUUUUCAUCAUUAUCUUCACUGCCGUUGUGAUCUUCACUUAUAUCUUGCUAUCAAGAGCUACUUAGUAUUCUUCAUUGAUGCUAGUUGUGCUACGCCGUGACCUCAUUAGUGUUCUAGGCUCGCGUCUCUAGUCCUGUCUAGCCUAGGACCAGCACAGUACCGUCGUUGAGCGUUUAUUCAACAUUGCAUCUUUGAAUUGAUUAUUGCUAAUCUUUUGCUACCAUAUAUAGCCAACCCAGCUCCACAUAUUUCUACACCGUGUAUACGUACACUCCCCUGGCAAUCGAUUUACUCAAUAUUCGGAGUUACUUGACACCGCUGGUUGCCGAUCACCGCCUGCUGCAUGGUAAGAACUUGUAAGACAUUGAUAUUUGCUUUACUGUGAGCGUUUUACCACCACAUCCUAGUAGUUAUAGGAACAUUAUUUUUGGGUUUUGUUUCUUGUUCUACGAAUCAUGACAGGAUCCAGAGUCAAUUCAUGGGCUUUGUCGAUCGCGGGAGACGUGCCACCACCUUUGCAAAUACCACAACCGUCACGAGAGGUGCACAAACAUCCAAAUGCACAUGAUCAGGUUAAUGUAUCUAUACCACCAUUUAAUGGCCGUUUUAAACCUGCUUUAUAUAUUGAAUGGGAGUUUGACAUAAAAAAUAUAUUUGCUUCCCAUAAUUUCGAUGAACAUAAAAAGGUUAAGGUUGCGGUUGGUUCUUUCACUGGUUAUGCUUUGGUUUGGUGGAGUGAAUAUUGUCGGUUACACCCUGAUUAUAUACCUACUACUUGGGAUGAUUUGAAACUUGCCAUGCGACAUACUUUCGUCCCUGCUUAUUAUACUCGUGACAUGAUUAAGAAGUUGCAACACUUAAAACAAGGUAGUGAAACUGUAACAAAAUAUUAUGAUGAUUUACAAACUACCUUGUUGCAUUCCUGUUUAGAAGAAAGUGAAGAUGAUUUUAUGGAUAGAUUUUGGGGAGGAUUAAACCGUGAUAUUCAAGAGAUACUAAUUCAUAAAAAGUGUUAUCCUAUGGACCAUUUGUUACAUCUUGCUUGCAAAGCUGAACAGAAAAUAAAACGACGUGUUGGCCACGAGGAGAACAAGCGCACGGUGCACAUUCCAAGAGUUGAUAUGAUUGUUCCUUCAACUACUAGGCAUACUAUGACAACCACAUCCGUUGUUGUCAGGACUACAUCACCUCCACCAUGUGACACAUCGCCCCCGAGAGUGGCUACAUCAUCUGAGUUGAUCAUAAGAGGCAAUGACAAAGGUACUGAUCUUCCAUCUCUACAUGAGAAUGAUGAAUGCCUUGUCAAUUUGAAUGCACCAUCUGAUGAGCUACCCACUACUUUGAUCACACCACCUAUUUUAGAGGACUACGUUGAUAAUUUGACUUUGACAUGUGAUCAAACAACUGAAAUACCAACAAUUUUGAGUGCACCCAUUGAAUUAACUAUUGAUGCAAAAGAACCAAUGUUUAAUCAUUUUGAUAUGACCUCUAAUCUUGGUGAUAAUUCUGUGUUGAAUGACUUAUUGCAUGUUUGCUUAUUUAAGCAUGUUGUAGCAUGUAAAUUUGAUGCAAGUAAGGUUUAUUCACCAAUGUUGGGAUGGUUUAAUGAUGGACAUUGUCAAUCUUUUGAAAUGAAUAAGAGCUUCACUUAUAUGUGCAAACUGAGUUGCAAUAUUUUCAUGCCUUCUACUUCUUGUGCUAAUUUUUUGGCUUUAGAUUUUAAGAACUAUGCAAGUUACUCAUCUAUUCAUGUGUCAUAUAUGCAAAAAUCAAGGGAAGUAAAAAUGGAUGACAUAUACAUAUACAACAUGUACACCUUGUCUCUUUUGUUAGCCACAUUUCAGAUUAAGCAACGCCGAGGACGACUUUAUUUUCAAGAAGGGGAGGAUGAUGAGGACAUGACUACCUUGGAUAUGACCAAAAAUAUUGCAUAUAUGCAUAUUUGUCAGGUGAUUUCUAGUGCAAACUAUUCAAUAAUCUAUUUAUGUUAUCCAGAACAAAAAUACUUCACACACUUUUGUGUUUUGUCUAAUUGCAGGUGUAUGGGACAUUUGUACAAUCCACAUAUGAAGAUAAGGAAGAAAGAGAUGUUUAUUUGCUGUCCAAAAAAGUUCUCUCACGUCACUUUUGGCCCAAGAGAAGAUAGAGUCCAAGUCUCUCACGUUCUGGAUUCAGAUUCGGACUGCACAGACAUACCUGACUCAAAACGCACACAAGUUUUUCAUACGGACUCCGAAUUGGGUGAUUCUUUUUUUGUUGGAAACUAGAUUUCGUGCACUUUCCAACCCAAUUGGAAUCACCUUCAAAUUCGUCCGGAGCGUUGAGUUGUGGACGAAACAAUCUGAUGCUGCAGCAGAAUCCGAGUCAAACUACAAGUCCAAAGGUGUUACAUCACCUCCACUUGGGCCCAUUGGCCUUGUACGACCUAGAUUUAGUUUUAGGCUGCCUUGGGACGUCCUCCCACCUCCUUGGCCGCCACCCCUUGCUCCUAUAUAAGUAGAUCCAUCUAGUAGCUUUUCCUUGGGAUUUGUUUAGUUAAAAGUUAGCCAUUGCAACUUCGUGUACUUCGUUUGUGUCCAACGACCAGACCAAGACCGCUUCCGGAUCCCCACCAUUAUCAAUACUUCAUAUAUAUUUGCAAUAUUCAGAUUGCUUUAUCAUAUUCUUGCUCGUUCUUCGAUUACUUGCAGGAAUAGACCUUCGUGGUCAGGCUGACCGUGCUUCCAGCAUCGUCAGUUACCUCAGGAGAUUGGUUUAGUGAUUGCUAAGGCGCAACGUCGUGCACGUUUGUAGUCGGAUUGUCAAAGUCGUCUCCACCAAAUCGAUAGUUAUCAUCUCAUCGAAAGAUCGGGACCCUCGCCUCUAUCAACAUGGCUCCUGAAGACGCUGACAGGUAUGAAUGUUUAGUUGCUCAACGUGUUUUGAGUGUGCAGGUCACACAAGCUGAGCAAAAUCAGAGGCACAAUUUGUUCCAUACCAAGGGAGUUGUGAAGGAACGUUCUGUGCGCGUCAUAAUAGACGGAGGGAGCUGCAACAACUUGGCUAGCAUGGAGAUGGUGGAGAAGCUUUCUCUCACCACAAGACCACAUCCACAUCCUUACUACAUCCAAUGGUUCAACAACAGCGGCAAGGUUAAAGUAACACGUACUGUUCGUGUGCAUUUUACUAUCUCUACAUAUGCUGAUUAUGUUGAUUGUGAUGUGGUACCUAUGCAAGCAUGUUCCUUAUUACUUGGUAGACCAUGGCAAUUUGAUAAAAAUUCUGUACACCAUGGUAGAAACAAUCACUAUACUCUUGUUCAUAAGGAUAAAAAUAUUACUUUGCUUCCUAUGACUCCUGAUUCACUUUUGAAAGAUGAUAUUAAUAGAGCUAAUAAAGCAAAACAGGAGAAGAAUAAGAGUGAAAAUCAGAUUGUGGCAAAAGAAUUUGAGCAACAAAUGAAGCCUAAUAAUAAACCAUCUAGUGUUGUGAUGAGGACAUGACUACCUUGGAUACGACCAAAAAUAUUAUAUACAUGCAUAUUUGUCAGGUGAUUUCUAAUGCAAACUAUUCAAUAGUCUAUUUAUGUUAUCCAGAACAAAAAUACUUCACACACUUUUGUGUUUUGUCUAAUUGCAGGUGUAUGGGACAUUCGUACAAUCCAUAUAUGAAGAUAAGGGAAAAGGAGAUGUUUAGGUGGUGUUCAAAAAGUCGUCUCACGUCACUUUUGGGCCAAGAGAAGAUAGAGUCCAAGUCUCUCACGUUCUGGAUUCAGAUUCGGACUGCACAGACAUACCUGACUCAAAACGCCAACAACUUUCUCAUACGGAC
rnacentral:lncRNA from 1 species